rnacentral:lncRNA from 1 species
CUAGUAAUAUAUCUAUUUAUCAACUUUUUAUUCACAAUUAUCCUGCUAAAAAAUAUGUUUAAAGAUAACAAAUCGGAGUCCUUUAAAUUUCCAAAUCAUUUUAAAUUUUACAAACAUAUUUAUUAAUGGUCCACAUUUUUGGGGAUUCUAACCCUCACAUUUACAGGACGGCACUCGAUAAUGUACCAAGGGCACAUCAUCAAGUCCACUUAGCUAGAACAGCCAUGCCACCCGCACCAAGCAAAACGGCGGCGUAUGACUUCAACUGAAGCUUGAUGCUCCGUUGCAUCUUCUGACCCAUAAAAUCUGCGGCCAGUAGAUCAACUAAAGCCAUGUAGAUGAGUAGUCCACUAGAAGAAGCGUUGAGCAGACCAACCGUUAUGAGCGAGUCAGGGCCAUUCUCUUUGUACGUUUUAGAUAAGGCCAUUCCUAGAACCACCCCGAAAGGUGUUGUGACUGAAAAAAAGAAGGCCAUCACCGCCACUGUAUUUAUCUAUAAAUAUAAUUAUUUUGGUUACAACUAUAAAAUUUUGAAAGUUAAAAGACUAUUUUGAAUAUUUUGAAAAAAAAAGUAUGACUCUAUAAUAGAGUAAUGUUAUUUUUUCCUCUAUAAAUAGAGGAAAAAAUAGCAAUCUCAGACAGUUGAUUUCAACAAUAAAAGUUCUUAUAACUUUUUUCUCUUUCUCUUGUUAUUGGCGUAUUCUAUACUCACAUUUAUCUCCAAUGCUCAUAAAAUCAGUGGAUUACUAACUUAUUCCCGGGAUUACAUUACAUCACAUGAUUGCAUGAGUAAAUUUAUUCAAGAAGCAAAAACUUUGGAGUAGCCAGAGUGUAGAGAUGACCAGAGGGGGAAUUGACUACAUCGGACCAAGCUAAUUAAUUGAAAGGGAAGGAUUAACCUGGAGGAUGCAGCCGCAGGUGGAAAUAGAGAUGGGAUAGAGCAUUUUUACCUCUAUUAUAGCAUAUAGAGGUGAAAAUAGCUAGGGGUUGGAGAUGCUCUAAGUGGCAGGGGGUUUUACGACACGUGUCAUCCAUGUAUUUUUUUUUACAUUUUAAGUUCUUCUUCUUUUCGGUAAUUGCAAUUUGGCCAAAUACUUUCUAAUUGUGCCUUUUUAAUCUUUUCCGCACUAACUAUUUUUGCAUGAAGUUUAAUAAUCUAUUUUAUUGUUCACUAAGAUUCAAGAUGAAUAAAUAAAAUAAUAAAAAUUUAUUUUUAAAUUUUCUCUAUUAUUUUAUUUACAAUUAUAUAUUUAUUUAACUAUUAAAAUAUAAAAUGACUAAACUAAUAAGAAGAAAUUAUAGUGCAAUACCUAAUCUAAACUUAAAACUUCAACAAUUAUAGAAAAAAAAAAUACCAUAAUAACACUAACUUAAUAAAGGUUUGGAGCUUAAAAGAUAUCAACAAAGAAAACUAACUUAUCUCAUCUUACCAUAGAAUGUUUUGAUUAGAACAAGCAGAUGUGAGAAAAAGGUAAAAAGAUAAAAUAUGAGACAAAACAAUCCCCAUAACACAAAUGAUCGCGAUCAAGCACCAACGUAAAAAGCCAAAAAAGCAGGUCAAAGAAAGAAUAAUCAUCACAAGAACAAAGUUACCAUGAAACAAGAAGACGCAUGCCUAAAGCACCGGAAGCACAACCACCAAUACCUGUUCCAUUUAUUCAUUUCUCCGCCUUCAAAUUAAGGUCUCCUAUUCGGUUAAACUUCUUCUUUUUUUUUGGGGUAAAAUUAAACUUAUUUGUUUUUAACUAGAAAGAGGAAAAAUGAAAGGGAUUUGAAACGCAAGCACGAGAAAAGUAAGGGAUUUAUUAUUGGGUUCACCCCAUAGGGUGAAUCUAGAGGUUUACCAACCAAUAAGAUUGUGUUAUUUUAUAUUCGAUAUCUUUUAAAAAAGGAAACAAAAUAUUGUCAAAAUAUAUUAUCUUUUUAAAAUUAAAAAGUAAAAAUAAAUAAAUAAAAAAUAGAAGAACAAAGUUACCAUGAAACAAGAAGACGCAUGCCUAAAGCACCGGAAGCACAACCACCAGCUAAGAGGUAAGAAGCACAUCAUAAAUUAAACAAGCACAUACAAGGCGUCCAUGCCAACAAAAAACCACAAAGCUCUGAAUAGAAGAAACAAAAACUCCAAAAGACUAACUCCGCACACCUACACCAAGGGACGCAUGAGAAGAAGAUAAACAACAUGAGUGGGGGAGAAUGGAAGGCAACCACCAAGAAACCAGAGCUCAAGCUUGAGACCAUAAACAACCUUCCAAACGCACAAAGCAUACAUAGAGAAAAACACUAUCCAAUCAUGGAGUAGCAAAUAUGGCGAAAGAGAGAGCCACCAGAGACGUGAUCAGCGAUGAAAGUGCAACGAGAUGAGAGAACAAAGAGAUGAAAGGAGACGAAACGAAAUCAGUAAACUGUGUAGCCAUCCUCGAGCUAUGGAAAAAGCAUAAAAGUAAGAUUACCAAAAACCAGAUCUUGAAAACCAAACAUCAAAAACUAUCGACGGCAAACCAAUGACGAGGAAGAACAACAUCAAAGACAACUAAAUUCUAACUCAACCCAGUGAAAUGUAGUUUCUAAAAUUAGCCAAAAUCUAAGGAACCCACAAUGCCGUAAGAAACAACCGCACAACAUGGAACUAAUAUGCGUGAUCGAUAACAAAUACAAGAUAAUAUCUCAUAAGAAGAAUGUGAGGAAAAACAAGAGCACAGAGUUGAGUCUUUUUCAGUGAUGGUGAGAAGUCCAGCACACCGGAAAUGUAAACAAAAUACAUAGAUGGUGACUGUUCAAGGUCAAAAUAUGGAAAGAGUGUAAAAGAUAUCUUAAAAAAGCAAUGUUCUAAAAUGUAAAAAAAUUAGAAUACAAUUUUGAUACCGUUAAUCUUAAAAUCAACAAAUGCCUAAAUGCAAAGUUAUUGAAAUUUAAUAUGUUUUACAUUUGAAGCUCAUUUCAUCACUAACGAGUAGUAUUAUACACACAACAAUACGUUAUUGAAAUGACAACCACAUAAUAUAUUAAUUUAUUACCUACUACUACAUAACACAAUAAAACACUAAAUAAUCUUCUUCACAAAUAAAUAUUAACCACAUAAUCACAUUAUGCAAAAAAUCAUAUUUAAAAAUAAUAAAACAAUAUUCCGCGUGGAGCGCGGACACCUUCUGGUUAAGUAAAUAUGUUGCAUAAUGAGUGCGUAUAUUCUGCACUCACAGUAGAUUAAGGAAUUUAUUUUCAAUUAUUUAAUAAAAACUAAUAGUAAAGAUUAAACAAUUUCUUAACAACUUAAAAUAAACUUUUUUGUUUGAACUAUUAUAUAUUAAUGAAUGCAUCUUUAAUAUUAAACUAAAUUAAACUGUUUUGGGCAUGAUAAACUUUUAAUAUUUAUUCAAAACAUACUUUAUCAAAUGUACAUUAUCAUAAAAAUUUGACAAAUCAAAUAUUGAUAUCAUAUAAAGUUUACUAAAUAAAAACGCAAUUUCAAUACGACCAUGGACCCAAAUAUAAGAAACUGAAAUAAUUUCGGUAAAAGAGCGGAGAAUAACUAUUUUUCUUACGAACAUUGUAUACCCUGUAGAAUAAUGUGUUAUAGACUUACUCUUUUUUGUAACAGUGUUAUAUACUUACUCUUUUACAUAUUUUUCAUUGACUAUCAUAUUUUUGUUGAAACUCUAAAAUACAUUUCACAUUAUUUGAUUAAUAAAAUUAAUUAAAAAUUGUUGAUAUAUAUAUAUAUAUAUAUAUAUAUAUAUCUUAUAUUCUUGUUCAUCCAUUUUUAAUCUUUUUAACUAUUGGCAUCCAAAUGCUAUUAUAAAAUUGAAAAAUGAACAACUUAGCAUCUAGAUGUUGCAUUUGAAUGUAAAUACAAACUAUAAAAACGAACAAUAUUAAAAUUAAAUAUAUAGAUAUUUAAUUUAGAUGUUAGAUAUAGAUGCUGCAUCAAAUAUUAAAACAAACAUGACCGAAUAACUAAUCGUUAAUUUGCGGGGGAAAAAGGAAUCUAUUGCAUUGAUAAGAAAAAAACUCAAACGCAAAGGAACGACACAAUCACCUUCAAAGAAUUUAAUUAGCACUAUCCAUCAAAGCUAGGGGUUAGCAUUUAGAUUUAAUUACGGGUUCGGUUUGGUUUGGGUUAUUUGGACCUAAGAAAUCUUGAACCAAAGUCAACCAAAAUUAGUAUGGUUUGGUUUAUGUUCGGUUUGAUUCGGUUUUACUUCGGUUUGGUUUGUGUCCAGUUCGGUUUUAGUUCGAUUUGGUUUGUGAUUAGUUUGGUUUAAUUUGGUUUUGUUUGUAUUUCUUAGUUCAACCGAAUUUACUUUUUAUUUUUUUUCUAGUUCAAUUACAAAAAUAUGAUUUAUAAAAACAUAAACAAAUCAUCAUUUGAUAUUGAAUUACUAUUUUCUUCAUAUUUAAACGUAAAACCAAACACCACAAUAAAUACGUAGAAAAUGUAAUCCAAUAAUUUUAUAUUAUUACCUUCAAACCUAAUAUAAAUAUCAUUAAAAAAAAUUUCGUUUUGAUGUUAAUGUAUGAGAUUCAUAUUAUUUUAUUUUUAUUUUUAAUUGUGCUUAUUCUAUUCAUUAAAAAUUAUGUAUAAAAUUAUGUUUAGUUGUUUACGCUAAAUGGUUAAAUAUAUUAAAUUUUAAUAUUUGGUUCGAUUUUUUGGUUUGGUUUGAUUUGAAACCAACCAAACCGAACCAUUUGGGUUGAUAAAAUACUGAACCAAAUGGGUUAGACAUAUACUUUGGUUUGGUUUGGAUCGGUUUAAGUUCGGUUGGGUCAGUUUAGUUCGGUUCGGUUUGGGUUUUUUGUCCACCCCUAAUCAAAGCUAAUUCAAUCAAUAAAAUGAGUGAUUUUUUAUCAUAAAUUAAACACUAGAUCCUAAUCACCAUUUAUCAAAAACUCCAAUAUUUUAUUUUGCGUUGAAUUCCCUUUGUACAUUUGAAAAAAAAACAUAAACUUAAUUUUCAUUUACUUAUCUUUUAAUAGAUCCAAUAGAAAUAUCAAUCUCAAUAAAAUUAUCUUCUUCUUCCAUAUUCACAUCAUUUAUCUCUUCUUCUUCGUCAACCCUAAUUCUCUGAAGACUCUGAUCAAUGUUCCUCACUGCCUCUACAGCUUCUGCUUCUUCAUUCACAAGAAAAAUCUCAAUAAGACCAUCAUCGUCUUCAUCCCCAUGUUCAUCAUCAGCAUCAUCAUCAUUACCAGCAUUAUCAUCAUUGUUAUCCCCUUCUUUUUCAGAUCUUUCAGCCAAAAGACUCCAGUCCUUUUCUUGAAGAAUCUUAGAAAGAAAAGAGAAGUAGAGAUGAACAAGAUUGCGAUGGUUACUAGAAGAGAAGAGAAUCCAUAAGAGCUUAAAAGAUAGAGGAAAACUAGAAAUGUAAUAAGGGUUACAAGGAAAAACAGCAAUGGCGAAUGUGAAAGAAAACAGCACCAAGAAAAGUGAUUUUCUUCAUCAGUUUUCUUCACCAUUUUCAUCAUUCCACGGAAACUUGAUUUAAGAAAACAACAACAGAGCUAAAGAGAAGUUCAGAAUAAUGUCUCGUUAUCCAUUAAUGUUAACUAACGGAUAUAUUGAGUUAUAUCGGAUUUAAAUCUUUAAUCUUAGUUUCACUCUUUAUGGAUCUAGAUUAGAGUAAUAUAUAUUUUAAUGAAAAAGACUAAUCUGAGUUCUUGAAAAGUUUCAGACAAGCUCUGUUUUUUCUCACUCUUUAUAUUUAUAAUUAUACACCUGCAACUAAUUUUCUCGAGCAAAAUGAUGUGUCUUGGUUUUUGCAUGUAUUUUGAAUUAAGAAAAAUAAAACACUUUAAAAAAAGUUUUAGAGGUUGGUAAUACAUGUGAAGCCCAUUAAUUAAGGAUGAUUAUUAGUUUUAUGAAAAAUAAUCAAGAAUAAUUAUAUAGUACCAAAAUAAUAUUUUAAAGAUGAUUUCUUAACCUAUCAAAGAUACAAAGAGAUACAAUCAAACUACAACCUCCAACAGCAGCAUACCAACUAUACGCGGUUAAAUUCAAUUAAUACAGAGAACCAGAUUUGAUUGAAGUAUAGAUUACAUAUGUUUCAUCUUUAACCAGAUCAUUCUAGCAUGUCAGAGUUUUGGAACGGAUUAUAAAGAUUUGAUCACUAUGAUUAAGAGUUUCGUACUUGCCAAGCUUUGCAAGAGAAUUAGAAAAGAUAGUGCAAAAUCAUAUUUCUAACUUCUUAUCUAGGAUUGCAAAGUAUUUCUAUAGAAAUUUUUGUUUUAUUAGUUGUUUUUCGGUUUAGUUUAACCACCUCAAGUCUGAGGAAGAGAAUCACUUUCCUAACUUUGUCAGAUUUUUGUUGUUGUCAACUAGUAUUACGUCGUUUUGAUUCAUAUUGGUGGGUAAAAUUAUUCAACGCAUGAUUUGAUGAGUUUUUUUCUUAUCUGACUGUUUUACUUUUAACAAAUUAAAGAGGUCACUUUAUCUUUUUCCAAACUAUCCUUUAUCGUCUCAUACAAGACCCCAUCGAUUUUUGUGUGCGUUUGAGUUGAAAAGACCUCUCAUCAGUGCUGCGGUUGUUUACAAUGGUAAUCAUAAGAUGGAUCUGUUCAUUUCAUCAUCCAGAUACAUGAUGCAUGUUUGGGUAUUGUUCCCUUUUAUUACAUUGACUAAUGACUACUCAUUUUAUUAUAUCAAACUUUAGUUUGUAAAAUAGUUGCUAUAUAUAAGGGUCCCUACUAUUCGGUACCGACAUUUUACACACAAAAUAUAAAAUAGACCAAAACUUUCAAAAUCUGUUAGAGAUGAAUAUCAUAUAUUUCUAAAGAAAAAGCCAGCCAACCACCAUAUUCUAGAGUAGUCUGUCUCAUUAUGAAUUGCGAGUAUAUUUCCUUUUUUUUUCAGGCAAGAUAAACUCAUAGCUUACCUUCUAUUUUUUGCAUACAUCGUCAAAAUUUCAAACAGUAAUUUUACAGGCUUAACUUCUCUUGUUCACAACUAUCACGACAAUUCAUUCCUAAACCAAUGACGGUGCCAUCAUAGAUCCACAAAAGUAUCGAUUUGUAUAUGGGAAGCAGUAGUGGCGGAUUUAGAAACAUCUUCAACCAUAGGCACUAUUUUUUUUUUUUUGAGUUAGUUGGGGUAUUUCACACUGUUUAAACUAUUUGUUAAAGUAAAUUUUGUACUAAUUAUUUUAAGAAUAUAAAAACUUAUCUGGAGGCACGUAAUCUAGUUCCCCAUCAAGUGCAUUUGCCCCUGGUCCUAGUAUGAAUUUUAAAGCUUGGAAAGAAAACAAAUUAUAAAGUAUAUAUGUUUUUAUUUCUCUACUUUCUAUAUAUGAUUUAGUGAAAUAAUAUAUUCUUACAAGAUACAAAAAUCACUAAAACCUACAUAUCUCAAAAAGUUAUAUAAUAACUGUGGUAUGUAACUAAAUAUAUAUAAUAUUCGUUAAAUUUGUUAACAGAAUAUAAUAUAUAAAUAAUAUAAUUUAUAUUAUUCUAUAAUAAAUUUGUCUAAAACAAAUUGUUACAUAAAAUGAAAUAAAAUGUGAAGCUAAAACUUUGAGAAAAUUUUAUGUUUGAUUUGAAAAUGAAUGAAAUAAAUGAAAUAAAAUAUUUAAAAGCAGCUAAUAAGGAAAAAAAUAUCAAACAUACAUGAUUGGUCCUUAUCAUAUUGCUCAAUAUCUUUUCUUCUUUAUUUGUUGAUCAAUAAAUUAUUGCCUACUAUUAAUAUGCAUGCAAAUUAAUUAUUAUUUUAUUUGUUCGGUAUCAAAAAGGUGAAUAGUAAACAAAUACAAUACUAUCUGCAAAAUAAUUGAUGAUUUUUUUUUGAAAUAUACUCGGGUGUAUUCAACUGAAAAUUUGAGGUGAUAUGUAUAAAAUGACAAAUACGUUGUUAUCAAACACGAAUUUUAAAAACUCAUUUAAAUUCCACUAUUAUUACACUUGACAUUUUAUAAAGUACUACUUUGAAAUUCAUUUUUAUUAAAAAAUAUUUUAAGCUAUGGAGAUUUACAGUUUUCGAAUGAUUUUAGAGUGUCGGUGGAGUUUCUUAUUAAAAAAUUAAAAAUCAAAUCUUAUGAUUUUAGCUGAUAUUCGAGAAUGGUUUAACAAAAAUCAUUUAAACUUUCCAAUUAUAUAAAAUCAUCUAAAACUCAUUAAAAAAUCAAAUCACCUUAACCUUUAUAUUGAAUACACCCCCUAAGUUAGAUAUCAUUUCUUAAAAAUAUCACAACAUUUUGGUUUAGCAUUUAGUGAUUAUUUCUUAGAGUUAAGUAUUUAGAGUGAUGAGAUUGUGUUUAUAAACUUCUAUAAAUAGCUUUAAAACCUUUAUAAAUAAUUUAUGAGGGUUAAUUUUUUUUUCAUAAUAAAAUUAAAGUAUUUAUGAAAUAAUUAUCAUUUAAAGAUAAAUUUAGAAAGUAUAUAAUAUCAAAUUUGAAGUAAAAUAAGAAUUUUUCCCAUGAAUGAUCUGCAAAGACAUAUAUAAGAUUUUAUGCUACUUCUAUCUCAUGUUCGUCGUUUGCUUUCCUCUAAAAUUGAUGUCAUUAUUUAAUUUUGUAUCCAAUUUUACAUCUGAAGUCAUUUUAAUUUGGUAAAUAGUUAUAGGGGUAACAAGCUCAGGCUUGGCCCUGAAUAGGGGCAAGAUUUGCGCUACAAAUCAGGUAUACCGUGAAUAAUGCAAGUGUUCGAACGUAUUCCGACUUUUGUUGCAUUCACAUUUGUGAGUGUAUCUUAUCAAAAAGUAAUAAUGAUAAACAUUUGUUAAGUGUCAUGUGUUAGGGGGUAGUUCAUAAAAUUAAUCCGAGUUAACAAAAAAUAGACAAUUAGAUCCUAAUAAGUCGAUAGAUUACAUUCUUAGAAUGAAAUACAUGAAAGAAGCUAUUAUGCACUGGUGAUACAUUUGUGUAAAUUACAUGCUUCAAAACUUCCCCAUUUGUGUAAAUUACAAGGUAAGUGAUUGAUAUACACGAUGAUUUAACAUAAACACUAAAACAUUUAACUAUCUCAGGCUCAUUGAUAGGAUCGGACGUUGGUGGAUAGAGAGAGAUUGAGAUAUUAACAUACCAAAGCUGAUCAGGCCAGAGAAAUGAUUCAAUUGCAAAGACCCUCUUAUCUUCAAGAGAUCCUUCGAAGGAGAUUCCAUAUUGUUUGAGGAGCAAGUCAUCAUACAUGACCUCAUAAUCAGACUUGGAGUAUUUGGGUUAGUGAAGAGGAACUUGAAACCCGCUUGGGAACUCCUCUUUCUUCAUCACCUUUAUUUUGUUGCUGGUGCUUACGUAGUUGCUGGUUUGAUCGAUAUGGUUUGAGUAGCCGAACAUUUUGAGUGAAAGCCGAGGUUAAUAGCCAUUUCAUUUCCAUGGACUCGGUUGUUUUUAGUAGUUUGCCAAAACAAAAAAAAAAGGUUUUGAAGUCAAGAUAGAGAGGAAAGGCCAAGAAAUCAUAAGAAGCUCAAACUCAAAGGCAAGCUGAUAAGAUGGCCAGGACUUGUAAAUUAUAGAGUGAUGCAGGUAAGAUUACUUUCCAAACAAUAAAAUUUUAAAAAUUAUUAUCACGAAUAUCAUUUAAAUUUUCUUUUCCUUAUCAUCAACAUUAGUUUGUAAUAGGUACAGUGCCGUUCCAAAAUUUGAUGUGGCCUAAAGCACAAUAAAAAUUAUGUGGCAUUUUAUAUAAAUACUAAUGCAAACAACACAAAAGUGCUUUAAAUCAUUGAAUAUGGCUGAAUCUGUGAUAAAAAUGUGAUCCUAAAAUUUGUUAUAUAUCUUGUGGCCUAAAGCAUAUGCUUUACUUGCCUUAAUAGCAAGGACGGGCCUGGGUACAUAAUACUAUUAUAUGUUUAAAGACUAUAUAAAUAUAUAUAAAGAGUAUUUAGUUGGUAUAGUAGUGUUUAAGAAAAACAAAAUUGGUAACAAUAUAACAUUUUACCAAAAAAAAAAUUGAUUACGAGUAUCUUAAACACUAGAAACAAUUUAACAGGAUCAGAUAAUUUCUUUGGAGAACUCGUUGAGGCAGUUUUUUGUGGCUUGGUGUUCAGGUAGGAAGCUGAAGAAGAAGUAGAUGGAAGUAUUUUAAUACAUACACAUACAACUAAAGAGGGAGGCCCGUCUUUCAAUAAAGACACUCAAAUUAUUUGGAGCCAUUCGUAUGAUUUUAGUGUUUGUGUGAUGAUGUGUCUCUCUUUACGGUCUCUACACAUUGCACUUGAAAAUAUCUCACCUCUGAGCAAUGAUCAUGCAUUGAUUUUGUAGAUUUGUUUGGGUAAUAAGUCAAUAAACAGCUUAAAAGAAUCAAAUCAAGAAAAGUUUAUUCAGUAAUAAAGUGUUUGGACCUAAAGUAUCUGCCUUCGUAGUCCAUCUUACUAGUGAGCCACCCAGCAAAAGCCCCUUCUUUUCCACGAUAUGGGAACCAGCAGAACAGGUAGCUGAUAGCAAGCUUGAACAAAAGAGAGAUUGAUGCUCAUAGAGCUUUAUUAAACAUAAAUGAAAUAGCUUUAAAAAGCUUUUAUUGAAAUGCUAGAAACUAAAGAGAAGGACGAAGAUUCAGUUGUCACCAAGUAUCAAAUAACUAUUGAUUGUUUUUCAUAAACUUAUACAUAUUUAUCAAGGCAUGUGUAUUGUAGUAGCAAUAAGAUUUUCACUUUAGCUAGUAUGCUAAACAUUAGUGUAAGAGGUUUUGUUUAUGGGUUUUAGCAGAAACAAUUCGAACAACCAUUCUUUCACGCGGACAAUUUGCAUAAGAGUAAUAACAUGUUCAGUCAAUACUUAACAAGAAGAAACUUUCAGAAUCUAACAUUAAAUCAUUCAGGAAAUAAUCACCUGACUUAUUGUACUAUUGUACAUCUUGAGUCCAUCAAUCAAAAUGUUCCGAGAUUUCAGUUAAAGCUCUAUAAGAAAAUUUCGGAAAACCAAAAACAGAACUCUCUGACCUAAAUUGGAUCACAGAGUAGAAAGAAUUCAAAUUCCACAAAAGAAGUUAAUUAUCAGCUUGAAGAGUCUUCUGCAAGCAAAUCGAAACAACCAUCGGACCAGCCACGUCCCCCAGCGCGCACCCUGCAUUAAAUAAACAAAUACACAUCAAUCAUCGUUACAAAAUGUGAAAACUUCCAUCAAGUUAUCAUCAAUAACAGUUGAGCUUACCGAUCCAUUGGCCCAUGGAGGGACGGAUGAGACAAGAGCAGAUGCCAGCUCCAAUGGCAGCAAAAACUAAGGAAGCACCACAUCUUACUGUGAUUCCCACAACUUUGUUUCCAAGAUCCUUUGCUUGCUCUGAUAUCACGACUUGCUCCCCUUCUUCUUCCACCUCCACGGGUUUAACAUACCGUGACACACAUCUGUAGAUCUCUAUGCCUACUUGAACCGUCCAUGAUGCUGCAAUCCCAAGAAAGUGUCCUGCGUAAACCCCACCAAUGACACAACAUAUAUAUGUAAGCUUAAGGAGAUCGCUCAUGUAAGAUAGAGAGAACGAGCUUUUGAUGAUCAAACCUCUAAGAGUUGUCUGGCUGACUUUAUAGAUGUAUACAUGUGUGGGCCAGCCUCUCCCAGCUUUGCGUAAAGUCGACUGAGGCACAUCUGCAUAUUAUACACAAUGUUAUACAUUGUCAUUAUGUAACGACAAGUUUAAUGUUGGUAAGCAAAGUAAUAAAAGAUGAUGUGUUACCCUUUAAAAGUUUCCAUGCCAUACGCUGCGAUACAUAACUAACAGCCACCCUUUCAAGAACUCUCCUAGUAGUCACAACUGUGGUCUGAAUCAUAUACACACCCAACAUUAACAGUUACAAAUCAUGAAGCAACCAUCGAUGCGUAUUGUUCACAGUUUCAGCCUCUCAACUAACCUCACGUGCAAUCUGCUUGGCAGAUUUUUUAAGAGGAACAAUUAACAGGAUCAGAUAAUUUCUUUGGAGAACUCGUUGAGGCAGUUUUUUGUGGCUUGGUGUUCAGGUAGGAAGCUGAAGAAGAAGUAGAUGGAAGUAUUUUAAUACAUACACAUACAACUAAAGAGGGAGGCCCGUCUUUCAAUAAAGACACUCAAAUUAUUUGGAGCCAUUCGUAUGAUUUUAGUGUUUGUGUGAUGAUGUGUCUCUCUUUACGGUCUCUACACAUUGCACUUGAAAAUAUCUCACCUCUGAGCAAUGAUCAUGCAUUGAUUUUGUAGAUUUGUUUGGGUAAUAAGUCAAUAAACAGCUUAAAAGAAUCAAAUCAAGAAAAGUUUAUUCAGUAAUAAAGUGUUUGGACCUAAAGUAUCUGCCUUCGUAGUCCAUCUUACUAGUGAGCCACCCAGCAAAAGCCCCUUCUUUUCCACGAUAUGGGAACCAGCAGAACAGGUAGCUGAUAGCAAGCUUGAACAAAAGAGAGAUUGAUGCUCAUAGAGCUUUAUUAAACAUAAAUGAAAUAGCUUUAAAAAGCUUUUAUUGAAAUGCUAGAAACUAAAGAGAAGGACGAAGAUUCAGUUGUCACCAAGUAUCAAAUAACUAUUGAUUGUUUUUCAUAAACUUAUACAUAUUUAUCAAGGCAUGUGUAUUGUAGUAGCAAUAAGAUUUUCACUUUAGCUAGUAUGCUAAACAUUAGUGUAAGAGGUUUUGUUUAUGGGUUUUAGCAGAAACAAUUCGAACAACCAUUCUUUCACGCGGACAAUUUGCAUAAGAGUAAUAACAUGUUCAGUCAAUACUUAACAAGAAGAAACUUUCAGAAUCUAACAUUAAAUCAUUCAGGAAAUAAUCACCUGACUUAUUGUACUAUUGUACAUCUUGAGUCCAUCAAUCAAAAUGUUCCGAGAUUUCAGUUAAAGCUCUAUAAGAAAAUUUCGGAAAACCAAAAACAGAACUCUCUGACCUAAAUUGGAUCACAGAGUAGAAAGAAUUCAAAUUCCACAAAAGAAGUUAAUUAUCAGCUUGAAGAGUCUUCUGCAAGCAAAUCGAAACAACCAUCGGACCAGCCACGUCCCCCAGCGCGCACCCUGCAUUAAAUAAACAAAUACACAUCAAUCAUCGUUACAAAAUGUGAAAACUUCCAUCAAGUUAUCAUCAAUAACAGUUGAGCUUACCGAUCCAUUGGCCCAUGGAGGGACGGAUGAGACAAGAGCAGAUGCCAGCUCCAAUGGCAGCAAAAACUAAGGAAGCACCACAUCUUACUGUGAUUCCCACAACUUUGUUUCCAAGAUCCUUUGCUUGCUCUGAUAUCACGACUUGCUCCCCUUCUUCUUCCACCUCCACGGGUUUAACAUACCGUGACACACAUCUGUAGAUCUCUAUGCCUACUUGAACCGUCCAUGAUGCUGCAAUCCCAAGAAAGUGUCCUGCGUAAACCCCACCAAUGACACAACAUAUAUAUGUAAGCUUAAGGAGAUCGCUCAUGUAAGAUAGAGAGAACGAGCUUUUGAUGAUCAAACCUCUAAGAGUUGUCUGGCUGACUUUAUAGAUGUAUACAUGUGUGGGCCAGCCUCUCCCAGCUUUGCGUAAAGUCGACUGAGGCACAUCUGCAUAUUAUACACAAUGUUAUACAUUGUCAUUAUGUAACGACAAGUUUAAUGUUGGUAAGCAAAGUAAUAAAAGAUGAUGUGUUACCCUUUAAAAGUUUCCAUGCCAUACGCUGCGAUACAUAACUAACAGCCACCCUUUCAAGAACUCUCCUAGUAGUCACAACUGUGGUCUGAAUCAUAUACACACCCAACAUUAACAGUUACAAAUCAUGAAGCAACCAUCGAUGCGUAUUGUUCACAGUUUCAGCCUCUCAACUAACCUCACGUGCAAUCUGCUUGGCAGAUUUUUUAAGAGGAACAAUCAAGUCUACACGGCGUUGUUCUUCUUGAGCAUUGUUCAAGAAAUCAUCAUCAUCGUCGUCCUCUGAAGCAGGUUUAGCCUCCAAAAGAGGAAGAUAGAACAUGAGGAGGGAUCUCACCGUGGUCAUCGCAAGCGCCCUGAACUCAAAGGCCGAGAAAAGCGGCUUUGGCUGGAUAUUAUAAACCUUAGAGCUAGGAAUGUACGUAGGCGGUUGAAGCUGCAAAGCAUCAGCAGACACUUUUCGUAUAGCAGCAAGGUAAGCAUCAUCAAUCCCAGCUGCUGCGGCGGCAUCACAGUACGCAACUCGAGGCUCAAAGGAACUGUAUAACAGAAACAGUUUUUUGAAUCAAUUUUUAUUUUUAUUUUUUGAAUAACUAGGAGGUUCGGGCAAAAGCUGAAGACUUUCUUAUUCAAUCUAAACCCUAAUCACGAACAAAAGGCACUGAGAGAUUUAAUCAAAAUCCAAUUACACUUAUCUAUAUCCAUCCAAUCAAAUAGAAAGCAGAGAAUCAAAUCAAUAUAAAGAGGAGAAGAGAAGAGGAGACGUACCCGAAGAGAAACCUAGACGCGAAGGGAGCACUGGCGGCAGCGGAAACGGCGGCGGCAGAAGCGACGACGGAGGCUGGAGACAGAGAGGACGAUGAGUGGAUACGGUGCGUGUUAUGAGAUUUCUUGAGUAGAUCUAAGACUAUAGCUAUUCCCGCCAUUACUACGAGGAUAAACGAAUCUCUCGAUGUCUUUCAAUCAGAAGAAGAAAGAAAGUGUAAACCUUCGCUUGCUUGCUUGUUGUGGAUUUUUCUCUUAUUACAGCUUCUUUCCGUUAAAAUAAAUUUUUUAUCCAGGACAAAAAGAAAGAGAGUAGAUUCUGAAAAGACAAGAGAGUUAUGUUGACUUUUCUUUUUGAUAUUGUUCCGUUGGCCCAUAAUAUCACUAAACCGACCCAAUAAUAAAACCUUCCCACACGGAAUGAAAAUGCAUGAGGCAAAAAAAAAAAGGAGUCUCUCUCAUCCCUCCGUUCUCUCUCUCUCUCAAAACUUUUCAAGGAGGAGAUGACAAGAGUACUCAAGUCUUUUUGUUUGUCUGAUCUUUGGAUCAGAUGUUUGUUUCUCGGAAGCGGUGGUUCCCAUAGCACUAUCUUCGCCGGCUUUUAAUUCCGAGAAAUGGUGACUCUCUUCACUUUUUUCGUCUGGGUUCUCCUAGUUCCGUUCUGAUCAACGUUUCUAGUGUUUCUGUGCUCAAUCGAUUCUAUUUCUUAACCUUCCCUUGCUUAUUCCUUUCUUUCGAUAAGGUGGUUUUCAUCUUCAGACUUUUCCUCUAUCAAUAAAGAUGAUCGGAGUGCAUGCACGGAACGCGAAGGUCUGGGUUCGAUUGAUGUCAAUUGGUUUCUUUUUGAAGCGGUUGAUUUGUCAGACUAGACUCCUCGGCUGACUUAGGUGGAGAACCAUUCGGUUUAAACGGGUUUUCUCUGAGUUUGGCUUUGCAGUAAGCGGAGCUCCGUCAUGACGCUUUUAUGGCAUCAUAAGGUGUCGCAGAUUCAUGCGUGUCUAUUGAUUUCAAGGCAAUCAAACACAUGGUGAAAGCUUGAUGUUUUUUUCUCCAACGGUUUUGUCUAUGGGUUGACGGCCCAUAGUUCAUUUGUUUAGUUUGGUCCAUUUGUUUGGGAGUUUUUUCGUUUUGGCCCGUUUAUUUUGGAUUAAUUUGGCUUUCAAUUGAUCUUUUGCUUGUAAAGUAUGUUGGGCAUUGUCUUGUUGGGUUUUGACCCAUUUAAUAAAUUUCAGAUGAAAAAAAUGCAUGGAGAAACAAGUAGACAUAAAACAUCAUUUCACCAUUUUAUUCUGAGAACUCAAAGUAUAUUUCUGUCGAAAACAGAGAUUACAAUGGAAUUACAGAGAAAACUAUCUUAAAUCUCCUAGGAAAAACAAGCCCAAGCCACAAGGCUCCAACUAACCAACUAACUCUCUCUAUUACAAUUUCAUCUAUUUAUAUUAUCUUUCUUAGUGUAACCGUUUCUCUUCUCACUUCAUGUGGACAGCUCAUUACCUUCUCACGUGACAAUUCCUUGGCUCUUAUGAUCAUAUCACGUUCACCGACCAAGUCGGAAACGUUCUAACAUAAAAAAAAUUGGAAAAAAAAUAUCGUUAUAAACUCAGAGGUAUUAAAGCACAGCCUUUUACAGUUUGAGAGCUGUGAAGAGAACUUCCACAGCGAAUAGAACCAGCAAGACAAAAGUCUAAAUAAUAGCCUCAUACAGAGGUAAGAAAGGGAUAUAACCCAAAGAAACAUUCUCAAACUGAGGUAACUGAUCAAGUUGCUUAUUGAGAAACAGGAGCGUGAGAUAUCAUACUGAAGUGAAAGGAGAUCUAACUUCUCUCACAGUCUUCAUCAAUGAUGAUACAAGCCAAUUUCGUUCAAAGUAGCUUAGACAUACGACUAAAAAUGAAAACAAUUUCAUAUUCGGUUUAUAUAAUCAGGUUGGAGAGAAGGGAGAAAUUGAAGAGAAUUCAAUACUUUGUUGUUCCUAAAUUGUAGAUGGCAAUAAUGGAGGAAGGUGGGUUGAUGGUGGGAGAUGUGUAGGAAAAGCAUAACUAUCACACCCUCUAAAAUAUUUUACGUGAGCUAAUUUAUAUGUCAGCCCACACCGAUUAAACAUAAAAACAUAGAAAGGCAAAAGAUGACAGUGGCGUGUUUAGGGAGAAGUGACGUGGAUGAAUGUGAACAGAGAAGAGUUUAGCCUUAUUAAAACCGAUUUUUAUUAAUAACGGAUUUGUUAUAAACUAAUUGGUGAUCGACCCAUAUCAGAUCCAAACCGUCCGGCCCAUCAGCUAUUCAUCCGGCCCAUUCGCUAAUGACUUAGACGAAUGAGAGUUUACAUUUAUCUAUACUUGAUGUUUAUCCUUUUCCAUAUGUAUUUAUGAUAAGUACUAUUUCCUAUUCGUAUUAGGAAUAUGAUUUACUUUUCUCUUAUGACGGUCUAAAUAAGACGGUAUAAUACUUGUAUAAAUAUAGACCUCUGGUCAUGAGUAAUAAUAAGCUUACACAGCAUCUCUUUUAUAACAUGUUAUCAGCACGAUAGCCUCUUACCCUAAGCCCCCACGAAAUUACUUAAACUCAGCCGAAUAUCACAAAACCAUAAUUCCGGCGGAACUUCAAAGAGAUCGUUCUCCCAAACCGUGAGGACCCAGACGACGAGCAAUAUAUCAAAUUGAAGCUCUCACGGAGACGAAUCAGACACUGCAAACCGCUUGUCGAUCCGAUCACUGAUGCGCCAUCACUCUCUGCUACAGUACGCGUCACCGAUUUGCUUUGGAACCCUAAUCGUUUUCCUAACCCAAAUCUGAGCUCUCUCUCUUGAAGCUAGCUCUUUCUAGACGUGAUCAAGUAAACCAGACGUUCUCCUUCUUCCAUGUUCGUGAUCCGACCAAGCAAGCAGCCCGUCCGCGACCCGACUCGAAGAACGAUCAGCUCGCGGCCUCCUUCUCUCUUUGGUGGUCCAAAUCUACACUCCAUAAGUUUCUAAAGGUGAAACUCGAAACUUAAAAGAACCUACACUGAAUUUGGUUGAUUGAUAAAGAUAUGAACCAUUAAAAUUUGAAGAACCCUAAUCUAGGAUAAUAGAAACCCUAUUUUGAAUAACUAGGAGGUUCGGGCAAAAGCUGAAGACUUUCUUAUUCAAUCUAAACCCUAAUCACGAACAAAAGGCACUGAGAGAUUUAAUCAAAAUCCAAUUACACUUAUCUAUAUCCAUCCAAUCAAAUAGAAAGCAGAGAAUCAAAUCAAUAUAAAGAGGAGAAGAGAAGAGGAGACGUACCCGAAGAGAAACCUAGACGCGAAGGGAGCACUGGCGGCAGCGGAAACGGCGGCGGCAGAAGCGACGACGGAGGCUGGAGACAGAGAGGACGAUGAGUGGAUACGGUGCGUGUUAUGAGAUUUCUUGAGUAGAUCUAAGACUAUAGCUAUUCCCGCCAUUACUACGAGGAUAAACGAAUCUCUCGAUGUCUUUCAAUCAGAAGAAGAAAGAAAGUGUAAACCUUCGCUUGCUUGCUUGUUGUGGAUUUUUCUCUUAUUACAGCUUCUUUCCGUUAAAAUAAAUUUUUUAUCCAGGACAAAAAGAAAGAGAGUAGAUUCUGAAAAGACAAGAGAGUUAUGUUGACUUUUCUUUUUGAUAUUGUUCCGUUGGCCCAUAAUAUCACUAAACCGACCCAAUAAUAAAACCUUCCCACACGGAAUGAAAAUGCAUGAGGCAAAAAAAAAAAGGAGUCUCUCUCAUCCCUCCGUUCUCUCUCUCUCUCAAAACUUUUCAAGGAGGAGAUGACAAGAGUACUCAAGUCUUUUUGUUUGUCUGAUCUUUGGAUCAGAUGUUUGUUUCUCGGAAGCGGUGGUUCCCAUAGCACUAUCUUCGCCGGCUUUUAAUUCCGAGAAAUGGUGACUCUCUUCACUUUUUUCGUCUGGGUUCUCCUAGUUCCGUUCUGAUCAACGUUUCUAGUGUUUCUGUGCUCAAUCGAUUCUAUUUCUUAACCUUCCCUUGCUUAUUCCUUUCUUUCGAUAAGGUGGUUUUCAUCUUCAGACUUUUCCUCUAUCAAUAAAGAUGAUCGGAGUGCAUGCACGGAACGCGAAGGUCUGGGUUCGAUUGAUGUCAAUUGGUUUCUUUUUGAAGCGGUUGAUUUGUCAGACUAGACUCCUCGGCUGACUUAGGUGGAGAACCAUUCGGUUUAAACGGGUUUUCUCUGAGUUUGGCUUUGCAGUAAGCGGAGCUCCGUCAUGACGCUUUUAUGGCAUCAUAAGGUGUCGCAGAUUCAUGCGUGUCUAUUGAUUUCAAGGCAAUCAAACACAUGGUGAAAGCUUGAUGUUUUUUUCUCCAACGGUUUUGUCUAUGGGUUGACGGCCCAUAGUUCAUUUGUUUAGUUUGGUCCAUUUGUUUGGGAGUUUUUUCGUUUUGGCCCGUUUAUUUUGGAUUAAUUUGGCUUUCAAUUGAUCUUUUGCUUGUAAAGUAUGUUGGGCAUUGUCUUGUUGGGUUUUGACCCAUUUAAUAAAUUUCAGAUGAAAAAAAUGCAUGGAGAAACAAGUAGACAUAAAACAUCAUUUCACCAUUUUAUUCUGAGAACUCAAAGUAUAUUUCUGUCGAAAACAGAGAUUACAAUGGAAUUACAGAGAAAACUAUCUUAAAUCUCCUAGGAAAAACAAGCCCAAGCCACAAGGCUCCAACUAACCAACUAACUCUCUCUAUUACAAUUUCAUCUAUUUAUAUUAUCUUUCUUAGUGUAACCGUUUCUCUUCUCACUUCAUGUGGACAGCUCAUUACCUUCUCACGUGACAAUUCCUUGGCUCUUAUGAUCAUAUCACGUUCACCGACCAAGUCGGAAACGUUCUAACAUAAAAAAAAUUGGAAAAAAAAUAUCGUUAUAAACUCAGAGGUAUUAAAGCACAGCCUUUUACAGUUUGAGAGCUGUGAAGAGAACUUCCACAGCGAAUAGAACCAGCAAGACAAAAGUCUAAAUAAUAGCCUCAUACAGAGGUAAGAAAGGGAUAUAACCCAAAGAAACAUUCUCAAACUGAGGUAACUGAUCAAGUUGCUUAUUGAGAAACAGGAGCGUGAGAUAUCAUACUGAAGUGAAAGGAGAUCUAACUUCUCUCACAGUCUUCAUCAAUGAUGAUACAAGCCAAUUUCGUUCAAAGUAGCUUAGACAUACGACUAAAAAUGAAAACAAUUUCAUAUUCGGUUUAUAUAAUCAGGUUGGAGAGAAGGGAGAAAUUGAAGAGAAUUCAAUACUUUGUUGUUCCUAAAUUGUAGAUGGCAAUAAUGGAGGAAGGUGGGUUGAUGGUGGGAGAUGUGUAGGAAAAGCAUAACUAUCACACCCUCUAAAAUAUUUUACGUGAGCUAAUUUAUAUGUCAGCCCACACCGAUUAAACAUAAAAACAUAGAAAGGCAAAAGAUGACAGUGGCGUGUUUAGGGAGAAGUGACGUGGAUGAAUGUGAACAGAGAAGAGUUUAGCCUUAUUAAAACCGAUUUUUAUUAAUAACGGAUUUGUUAUAAACUAAUUGGUGAUCGACCCAUAUCAGAUCCAAACCGUCCGGCCCAUCAGCUAUUCAUCCGGCCCAUUCGCUAAUGACUUAGACGAAUGAGAGUUUACAUUUAUCUAUACUUGAUGUUUAUCCUUUUCCAUAUGUAUUUAUGAUAAGUACUAUUUCCUAUUCGUAUUAGGAAUAUGAUUUACUUUUCUCUUAUGACGGUCUAAAUAAGACGGUAUAAUACUUGUAUAAAUAUAGACCUCUGGUCAUGAGUAAUAAUAAGCUUACACAGCAUCUCUUUUAUAACAUGUUAUCAGCACGAUAGCCUCUUACCCUAAGCCCCCACGAAAUUACUUAAACUCAGCCGAAUAUCACAAAACCAUAAUUCCGGCGGAACUUCAAAGAGAUCGUUCUCCCAAACCGUGAGGACCCAGACGACGAGCAAUAUAUCAAAUUGAAGCUCUCACGGAGACGAAUCAGACACUGCAAACCGCUUGUCGAUCCGAUCACUGAUGCGCCAUCACUCUCUGCUACAGUACGCGUCACCGAUUUGCUUUGGAACCCUAAUCGUUUUCCUAACCCAAAUCUGAGCUCUCUCUCUUGAAGCUAGCUCUUUCUAGACGUGAUCAAGUAAACCAGACGUUCUCCUUCUUCCAUGUUCGUGAUCCGACCAAGCAAGCAGCCCGUCCGCGACCCGACUCGAAGAACGAUCAGCUCGCGGCCUCCUUCUCUCUUUGGUGGUCCAAAUCUACACUCCAUAAGUUUCUAAAGGUGAAACUCGAAACUUAAAAGAACCUACACUGAAUUUGGUUGAUUGAUAAAGAUAUGAACCAUUAAAAUUUGAAGAACCCUAAUCUAGGAUAAUAGAAACCCUUACAUAUGGAACUAAGUUUUGGUUAGAUUGUUUUCCUGUUAAGUUGAUAGAUCAAUGUCUGUUAGGGUUGCUAGAACAUUGAUUGAUCAGUAAGGGCAUUGAAACCCUAAAUCUAAAUUAUAUGAUCUGUUUCCUUUAUGAUGUUUUGAAAAUCUGAAAUAUCAAAAACCUAAAUUGACCUGACUGUUUUGAUUGAUUGAUUUUGAUGUAACUGAGGUUUAGGUUGCUAGAUUAAAACCUUGAAUUAUCUUUGAUGAUUGUUUGAAUAAAUAGAACUGUUUAGAAUCGAAUUUGAUCUUAAAAUUAAAUUGCUGAAAACCCUAAUUUUUCUUUUUGCAUAAAUCGAUUGAUAAAGAAGUUUCCAUAUUGUUAUUAAUUGUUUGAAUAUAAUGAACUGAUUAGGAAAAUUGCUAGUUUUGAUUAAAACCAUAAUCUAUCCAGAAUUGUGAAUUUCCUUUUUGCUAAAAGUAGAAAAUUUCAUUUUUCCUGAAAUUUCCUUUUCUACUUGCUGGAAAAUUUUCUUUUACUGUUAGGAUUGCUAGAGAAUUGCUAAAAUUGACUGAUUGAUCUGAUUUAAUUCUUUUGUAAAGCUUAAUAUUGAUAAAAUCAAAUCGAAAAAAUGGCCCUUGAAACCCUAAUAUGAUCUGAUGAUACUUGCAUUAUUGUUCUGAUUGCUUGAUCAUACUAAAUGUUUUAAGAAAAGUAAAACAUAAGAAUUAUUGACCUGGUCUCAUAUUGAUUAAAAAUCGACAUGAAUAUGAUUGUUGUUAUGAUUGAUACUUUGAUUGCAUUCAGAUAUAAAAUCCGACCUCUAGGGUUGUUGUAUCACAAUUUUAUAAGGCCGUGUGGCCUAAAGCAUCAUAUAGACCUCGCAUACUUGUUUUUCUCGCACCAUGGUCGAGUAGUUAAUUGUUUGGUCGAGAGACUUGUGAAACCGUAUGCAUUGAUUUUAUUGACUCGGUUGCAUCUUGAACUGAUUAAUAAUAUGUUUCAGAUGUCGAAAUUUGAGCCUUCGGAUUAUGCUGCCCUAAAUCUCUCUGGAGAUAAUUAUCUAGAAUGGGUAAUGAACACUUCAGUUGCCCUGAAGUCUAGAGGACUCGGGAAAUGUAUCAUUGAUGGCAAUAAUGCAAUUGAAAGUGAAAAGCAUAGAGCCAUAACAAUUAUGCGCUAUCAUCUCACUGAGGAUCUGAGAGAUCAGUACUUAAAUAUUGAGGAUCCUUGUGACCUUUGGACAAAACUAAAUUCCAGAUACUCAAUGGCAUUAUGGCGAAAAGCCAUGAAUGAAUGGAAGAUUCUCAGGUUCCAGGAUUUAGAAUCUGUGGACGAAUAUAAUUCUGCUCUGAUGAAAAUCGCCUAUAGUCUUGAACUAUGUGGUGAAGUGGUAACAAAUGAGGAUUUACUAUAUAAAACCUAUUCCACAUUCCAUCCAAAGGAUCUGUUGUUAUCACAUAAGGCUAAGGGUUUCACCACCUAUAAUGACCUAUUGUCAUGCCUAUUGGCAACUGAGCAAAGAGAGCAGAAAGUUAUAGAUACCAUUAGCAGAUUUGAAAAACUUCAGAAAAGAUACAUUGAGCAACGAAACAGUGAGAUGAGACCUCCUGAAGCCAAUGAGGCUAAAAAUGAUAAGGAGGAAUCCAAGGAAGCCGUGUGGAAAUAUAUGGAUUGUGAGGCCGGCUUAUACAUUGACUAAAGAAACGAGAUUUCGACAUUCUGAUUUUAUGUUUUAUGUUUUGCUUUGAUUUGCUUGUCAUUUACAAUUUUAUAGCAAUAAUAAGAGUUGUUUUUAGUUAUCAUGUUUGAUUUGCUUGAUGAUUUCUUGAUUGAUAAAUGACAAUGAAAACUUAAUAAAAGGAUAGUCAGUCUAUUAUAGACCACGGCAUUGCCUAAAGGGGCACGAAUUUAUUCACCCAAUAAAAGACCCAUUGAGUUAUAAAGACUUGAGCAUGAAUGGUUUCCACAUUGAACCAAUGGGCAAAGGAAACAAAAGUUCCUUUCAGAUUAUAAGAAAAUCGCCUAAGGCCUUAUAAGAAAGUGGUCAAGACUAUACCUACAUACUCUACUGAUCUAGACUAUGCCAAGGAUCAGUAUGAUAAAGGCAAAAGCCAUGGUAACCUGUAUACCCACGAAAUUUUAUACACUUUAUGGCAUGACUGGAUUAGCCAUCCAGGUCUUUAAAAAUUGAUGCACAUAUUGCAAAAGGCACAAAGAGUUAUCCCAUAAAAUCUCACGUUGUGUAACAUGUACACAAGGGAAACUCAUUAGGCUCUAUUGUCCCAAGUACCACGUGAUUAUAGUAUGUCCAUGAGGGGGAGUGAGGACAAACUGUGAUCCAUGAACAUACUACAAAUCCGUGUGACAUGGUCUAUGACCAUAGUAAGACUUGGCCGAAUUCUUUAUACUACAAAGGCCACUACCUAAUGCUUGGGGACACAAGGAUUUACAUGUGUAAGGUUAAUAUGCAUCAGGCCAUAUAAGUGAGCAUAGAUAAUCCCAUCUCAGAAUGAAUACGGGUCAUAAACCAGACAUAUACCAUCCUAAGAGAUUUUGAAUAAACCACCACAUACAUAUGUGCCGUCUAGGAUGGAACCUCAGAAGAGGAUGAGAAAAAGAUUGGGAAUAUAUGUUGGAUAGGAACAUGUCUUUCUCCCACGUUUUUUAAGAGACCUUGUGCCAAAUAUGGGUGAUCAAAUUAUGGCCAGGUACACGGAUCGCAUGACUGAUGAAUCCGACUAUCCAACAUCAGGGGGAGAAAGAAAUAAGCUGGUAAAAGAGAAUAAGAGAAAUAGAAUGGUAUUUACCAUCAUUGUCUUGGCAAGAUCCUCGGACUAGAAAAUAUGAUUUAAGACGUCCAAAGAAUGUGAUCAAAUGAUACAAAAGCUAGCAGAACUAGAUGCCAGACACAUUGACCCGAAAAGAAAAGAAUGACUAAGUCAUACCAGCUUAGCACCACGAAUUUGAUGUCCUAAGAGACACAAUCAAGUUGCUACAGUGUCUAUACAAGAUAGACCAAUAAGUUCCAAAAGAUAAGAAACCUCGGAAAGAAAUGAAAGGUGCAUAGAAUGAUACAAAUCCGAGUUCAAAGGAAACCAGUCCAGAUAGAGAGAUAAGGCUGGCCAGCUAAACAUCUAAGGUACCAAACCAUGUAGUUUGGGACGCCAAACUGCAAGGUAGUAAAGGUCCUGGAUAAUAAGAUCUCAAAUCUAUUAGAUCAUAUCUGGAACACUAUGGAACUACAUAAGAGUGUUAACACCAAUGAUGUAUUUACAUAUAAGAGAGCUCAUAAAAGAAAGUAGCACUUGAGUUUAAAGAUAUAAAUCUAGGAUCAUAAACCCACGUAAGAGUACUCAUAAAGAAUAAAGAUCAGAUUAAAAGAAAACGUGAGGUUUAAAGAGUUUAAAGAAGAGAUGGACGUAUUGGCCAAAUAUAUAGAAACGUCAUCUGAUGAUAUAGACCAGUGGAUAAAUGGGUCUUGUGAGGGAAAGAAAAUCGUGAGAUGAGGAACGUGACCAAGCAGUCAAGAGGUCGUUCACAUUACUACUUACAGCAUUCAAAGAAUAACUUGUUACACAAGGAUACCCAUAAAGACCAAAGGAACAAAUUAUAAGGAAAUAUACUCCUAUGUGGUGGAUGCUACUACACAAACUCGAAAUUGAUGAAGUCUGGAAACAAAAGAAAUAAUGAUGUAGUAAGCAGUAUAUUGAUCACUGGAUAAAGAAAACAAAGGUACCAGAAAGAUGAGAAAAGAAGUUCUCAAAGAACAGCAUUGUUCCUAAGUUGUUCAUGGACUGAAGCAAAAGCAGCUGCAUUGAAUAUGAUAAGACUAAGUAAAACUUAGUGAAGGAGUUCGAUAAAGAACAAUCCAAAUCAGUCCAUAUAUUCUUAUAAAAGAAAUCCCUUGUGUUUAUAAUAAAUCAGCACUGCAAGUAGGUCAUGAGAUGCCAUCAAAGAAAGUGUGGACUGCGAUGUUUUUCAAGUAAUAAGAUUAUAGUAUGGGACUGCAAUGUAAGCACAAGCCAUUAUGUUUAUAUCAGUGGAUAAAAGGAAACCAUAAUGGUCCAAGAGAGUGACCAGAAGUAUGUCUGGUCGAGGUCAAAUGGAUAUGGCACUGCUGAAGGCAAGAAAGAUCGAUAACCAUGUAUAAAGGUGCUUGAGUGUAUUUGACUGCAGAUCUAUAGUUUGAUGAGAUUAUAAAACUCAUUGCAGCAAUGAUUAUUAAUGAUAUGACCUUAGACACUCAUGGGGUAUGGACGAGUAUAGACAAGGUCUAUAACUCAACAUGGAUCGACCAAUGAAGAAAGAUCGGCUAUAAUGGAUAAGCCAUUAGCACAUACGGGUGAUGUAUGUCCGAAUGGACGAAGGCAUGUCCGUGAGAAGCCAAGUGAUUCGUAUGUGUUUGGGUCGAUGACUCAAUAUAUAUAUUAAAGUGUCCACGGUAUGGCAAAGCCAUGUGACUAGAGGAUCCGUGGGACAUGAGAGGACUUGCGAGUAAAGUUUGAUCGCAGAUUAGAGGUCCAUCCGAGUACUGGUCGAGUGCCAUCCGUCCGACCAGGAUAUAGAGUGGUCAGCUGCAAAAGAUGCACGUCUUGACCAUGUCUUAAUGAAGUUCCAGAAGAUAUGAGAGUUACAAGAUAACUCAAGUUACAAUUCGACAAGAGCUAUUCCUGCAUCAACGUUCAAGAAGCUCAAAGGACUACAAGUUCAGUCAUAUGAUAUGUCAGCCGACUUCUUCACCAUGUCUACACAAACCACACGUCCAUGAAAUUUAUCUAUCAGUUUGGGACGUGCCAAUUAAAGGACCAGUUCAAGACUUAGCGCCCAUGAAGCUAAACUAUCAAAUUGUCCAUGCGCCAACUUGAAGAACAUACACGGGGGUACAAGUCAGCGGGAGUUCAUGUUGUACUCUUUUUCCUUAUCCAUGGUUUUGUCCCACUGGGUUUUUCUGGAAAGAUUUUAAUGAGGCAACAUUAAGCAUGUUAUAAGCCCUGAACCGGAUGUGUCGAUCAAGGGAGAGUGUUAUAAACCAAGUGGUGAUCGAUCCAUAUCAGGCCCAAACCGUCUGGUCCAUCAGCUAUUCAUCCGGCCCAUUCGCUAAUGACUUAGGCGAAUGAGAGUUUACAUUUAUCUAUACUUGAUGUUUAUCAUUUUCCAUAUGUAUUUAAGAUAAGUACUAUUUCAUAUUUCUAUUAGGAAUAAGAUUUAUUUUUCUCUUAUGAUGGUCUAAAUAAGACGGUCUAAUACUUAUAUAAAUAUAGACCUUUUGUCAUGAGUAAUAAUAAGCUUACACAUCAUCUCUUUUAUAACAGCAUUACAAAUGUAUAAAAUAAUAAUUAGGUAAUCAUAGCUCUGCUAAAUGGACCAUUGUGAGUUUUUUGUAUCUGAAGUUUAGAGUUUCAGCCAUUGAUCUCCAGAUAUGAACUCCAUCCCAAGAAAAGGCUUCGCUUCAUCUUGAGUAAGACUCUUCGACCACGGUACUCGACCUGUUCUAUCCGCUCCUUUUCCUGUGCAAUUAUACUCUCCGAAUAGCACCUCACUACAAAAAAAAAAAGAAAAAGAAAAAAAAAAUAGUCUUUGUGUUUUUUUUUUCAGACAGAACAGCUGAGUUGCUCAGUUUCAAGAUCCUUUUUUGUUGUUGUUACCUGUCCCUGGCAGGGUCACUCCAGUCAUCCCAGCCCGCAGGAGUGAUGACAUCAGCAAUGUAACAGUUUGAAUAAACAAUUCUGGCGUAGUUUCCCCAAGCUCGUCCUAGGGUAACAUUCCCUGUUCCACUGAUGGUACAGUUCACAAACGAGAAACCAGUAUCUUCAUUCUCUUUGUCUCUAUGGUGAGCCGCGAUGGAUCCAAACCUCUUUGCGUUUGAGCUGAUAUAACAGUUCUGUGGUGUUUUUACCAAAAGACACACAAAAAUGUAAGAUGAUUUUGUUUUUGAUAUUAAAGAAUUAAUGGACAAGUGAAAAAGGGUUAUUUACCCGGUAAAGCGACUUGGCGUUGCCAAAGAUGAAGUCAACAUUUCCUUCGAUAUAGCAUUUGAGGAAGUAGUGAGAUCCACUUUCAUCAUCAAGAGUGUCUUGUGAUCCCAAAAUUCUUACACUGUACAACAUUGCUUUGUCCCCUUUUAUCCUCAGGGCCGCCGCUUGGUUCCCUUGAUCUCCCGGCACUGCCACCACCGUGUUCUGCACUCAUUCCCAAAAUCAGAUCAAAUAAAUUCAAACUCCAUAGAGAAGAACAAAAAGAAGAGACCAGAUAUAGGACCUGGAUAGUGAUGGCAGUGGCGCAGAAGAAGUCAGAGUCUACUGUAACAGUGGCUGUUCUGUAAGUGCCGAUUUCACUACCAUUGGAAUAACGGUCUGAAGCUUUAUCGCUCCAAGUAAUUACUGUCUUUCCCACGUACUUCUCAUCGCCUAUGAACGAAAUGUACGGUUUUGUGAUCGGCACAUUCACCUUCUCCCUGCAACGACCAAGACAUAACGUUUAAAAAAAAAAAAAAACAGAAAAACAAAGAUUCGGUGAAAUGCGUUUUUUGGAAUGAAAUCUUUGCGCUUAAUUCUUUUGCAUUCCUUAAAAUGUUGACCAGUUAAAAUGAAAAAAAUAAAAAAAAAUAUUCUAUUUCAUUCCAUAUUAUUCCAUAGAUGCAUGAUAGAGUAGAGAGAGGUAUAGUUGUAUUAUGAACAUUCAUUUCACAACAAAAUAGAUUUAGAAUAAGUGGAAUGAUGAUUCUAUUCCACAAAUAAUUAUUCCUAUAAUUUCAUCUGUUUACUAGUCACCAGUUACGCAAGAGUAUAUGACACAGACAGAGAAUCUGUGGAAAGAUGUAUUACAAAAACUACACACGUAACUGAUGUGUAAGAUUAUCCUACCAACUUUAUUAUAAAUGUUAACAAAACGUUUAUAAUCUUCUACUUAAAAAACACGGGUUUUGUCUUUGUUCAGAAUCUUUGAUUUACCUGUAAAUCCCAGGAAGAAUGUAGAUUUUAACUCUCUGAGAAUUGGAAUCAGGAACCAUAUCAACAGCUCCUUGAACUGUAACAGAGUCUCCUCUUCCGUUCUUUUCAACCACAAUCACUCUGCUCCCAUAUUCAGCGUUUGAGGGCGCCAGAUAUUCUCGGCUGACCCCAUUAUCGUGUUUAAGGCUCCUCUCCCUUCUGACAUCUUCCACAACACUUAAGUCUUCCCAGCUUAUGUAUCUCCCCAACUCGUUACCUUUAUCAUCAUUCUGCAACAAUCCUGAUGUCCCUAAACCCAACAGAACCCAAAAACAGAGAAAUGAAACCGAGGGAAUAAAGGCUUUGGCUUUCAUGGGGAAUGUCUCUGGAAUGAUCAGAAGAAGAAAACAAAAAGUUAAUUAGUGUGGUUUCUUUUGUCAGAGUUGUGAAGAAAAACGUUUUCAGGUUCUGUUUCUUCUAUACCCUCUUACGUGGGAGUGAGUUAAAUAAGAUGGGUUUUUAAUAAGUACGAGGACUCUCUCUUACACCAUGUACAAUGAAGGGAAUAAAAUAUUCUAAUUGUUGUAUACAAUGAUUAUAUUCAAAGUCCAAAUUUGAUGAUCUUUUAGUAUUUGGUAUUAAAAAGAUUUAACAUAUUGAAUAAAAAGAAAGUAUAGACCACCGGUGAUACAUUUCACUUUAUAGAGAUUUUUCAUAUUUUCAUAUCUUUCUAACUAUUUAAGAGCAAUAAUUUCGCUGCAAAUUAAGUAAAUUAUUUUUAUACCAAAAUUUGUUAUUUUAUAUUCUCUAUAAAUAUAAACUAGGUUUUUAGUUUGGACAUAUAAAAUAAUUAUUAAUUAGUAAAAUAUGAUAUUAAAUUUUAUUAACCAAAAUUAUUGUAAUAUGUAAAAGUUGAAUAUGUGUUAAGUGAUGAGGUGAAAUAAAGAUAAUAUGAUGUUGAAUGUUAAAAGAUAAGAAUAAAGAUAUUAAAUCUUGAAACCAUUGUGCAUAUUCUAUUCUUUUAUUAUAUUAUCUUCUUUAAUUGUUGACUAUCCAUAAGAUAAACUCCAUAAUUAAACAUAUCACCAAAUUAAAAUUUCUAAUAGUUGUAUUAUAUUUUAAAAUUUUGUAUUAUCUCUUAUUUCAGAUUUUUUUCUAUAAUUGUAACAAUGGUAAAGAUAAAAACUUUUAAUUAUGUAGUAAUCAAUUUAAAUACUUUUGAUGUUAAAUAUAUAAAUGUUCUCUUAUCUCCACUGAAUAUAUAUAUCAGUGGAGAUAAGAGAACAGUUAUAUAUAUAUAUAUAUAUUCAAACCAUAGACUUUAAUGGAUACAAAUAUUAAGUACAAAUAGGUUAAUGGGUAUAAUAGACUAAUUGAUUUAGUGGAUUGAGUUAAAAUGAAUUGGACUGGAAUAGACAAUGAGUUGUACAAAAUCAAACCAAUAAAAUAUAUAACUAACAGAAAUUUAAAUCAGAUAUAUUAAAAAUAGCAAAAUUAAUUUUUUUAAACAAAGUUUUAAUAAAUUUUCUCAUAUAUCUAAAUCUAUUUUAAUAAACUAAACCUAACAAAAAUUCUCAUAAUUGUUUUAACAUUAUUUUUGACUUUUUUAUCAAUCUUAUUUUAUCCUGCCAAAAUCGCAAAAUUAUAUUGUAUAAUCAUUUUUUCUCAUACAUCCGCAAACUAAUAUUUUCCCGCCAAAAUAACAAAGGUGCUUUCCUCACAACUACAUGAUCGUAUUUUCCCACCAAAAAUCAUAAAUCAUGUAUUUCAAGCAAAACCGCAAUAUAAAUUUUUCGUCGAACCCGUAAAAUCAUGUUUUCCGUCAAAUUCGUAAAAUCAAGUUUUCAUGCUAAAACAAUAAAUUCACGUUUUGCCGCCAAAACCGUAAAAUCAUGUUUUCCGCCAAAAUCACAUUUUCACCAAAGCCGCAAAUUAUGUUUCCCGCAAAAACCACAAAUUAUGUUUUCCCGCCAAAAUUGCAACAUUGAAUUUUUAUGUCAAAACCGUUAAAUCAUGUUUCGUGCUAAAAUCUCAACAUCGUGUUUUACCACAAAACUAUUAAAUUAUGUUUUUCUGCCAAAACACACAAUUGUGUCUUUGGUUAGGCCCACUUAUAAGGCAAGUUUUAGCUUCUAUAGUGGCUCUUCCAUUUCCACUUUGUUUUAGUUUGUAUUUUGACUGAAUGAAUAUAUCAAACCAAACAAAGGCUAGCAGUAUAAGACCUUCUCCAACCCUGGGAAAAGCUCUAUCCAAAAGGAGCCAAGUCCAUGCGGUUCUCCUCUCUCUCCCAAAACCGCAAAAUUAUAUCAUAACACAAACCAGAAAAUUAUUUUUUCAGCCAAAGCUGAAAACUGAGGCCAUAACUGUUUACUUAGUUUUACAUUUUUGGUUUUUAUUUUUUGGUUUUUUGUUUUUAAUUUUAGAGUAUAUUUUAGCUUUUUGAAAAACUUGAAUGGUGAUUUUAUAUAUUGGUUUUAAUUUUCAGAGUAAAAUAUAAUAAUAAAUAUUUAUUAUGAAAACAAAAAAAUAUAUUACUAUCACUAGAAAUAAAAAAAUUUAUAUUAAAUUUAUUUAAUAUAAAACAACAAUAACAAAAUGUUACAAAAUAAGCUUGAUAGUUGCAUGUUAAAGUACAUCUAUCUUAUUAAAGUAGAAGUAAUUUAAACUUUUGUUUGGCAACAUAGAUAGCAAUUAAAAAAAAAAUGUUGUUUGGAAACAUUGAUAGCAGUAAGUCAGGAAAAAAAAGUAAUAGGCUUAUACUAUUAAAAAAAUUGGAAGUCCAUUACAUUAUAUUAAAAAGUAACUGGUUUAUGUUACUUGAUAUACAUAUUCAAAUCAAAAUAAUAAUUUAAAAUUGAUUUAUAUCAAAAAUUCACUGAAAAAUAUACAUAUAUUCAAAAUUUGAUUUUUACUAACAUAUUUUCCAAUAACCAUUAUAAAAAUAUUUUCAAUAUAUAUAAAAAAAUACAAUACAAAGCCCAAUUUCAAACACCAACUUAAAUGGUUUUUAUAUUUCACAUUGAAAUUAAAAAAUAUAAUAUAUGUGAUUAUUGAUAUGAUUGUACGUAUAAAAUACGAUUAAUUAUAUGAUAACACAUAUUUUGUAACUUAUGAUGACACAUAUAUGAUAUAUAAUAGUGAUUAGGGGUGGGCGUUCGGGUUCGUUUUCGGGUCUGUUUGGGAUUUCAUGUUCGGUUCAGAUCUUUGAGGACUCGGUUCGGAUUUGGAUAUCCAAUUUAAAUUAUUUUAAAAAUUUUAAAAUUUAUUAUAUGCUUUAAUUUUUAGAAAAUCUAUAAACAAUAGAAUAUAUUACAUAUAAAUUUGAAAAACAUAUGUCAGAGUACCUAACUUAACAUAUAAAUUGGUUUGCUUUAAAUAUUUGGAUAGAGAAUUAAUAAUUAUUUAAGUAUUUUUGGAGUUUUGAGUAUAUUUUAACUAUUUUAGAUAUUUACGUUUAAUUAUUUGUAUAUAUUUUCAAGUAUUUAAACAAACUUAAAAGUAACAUAUAUAUUCUGGAUGUUUUUAUAUAUAUUAAAUCUAAAAAUAAUUAAUAUAUAUAAGUAUAUAAAUCUAUUUUGGAUACCCAAUAUACUUCGGUUCAGAUCGGAUUAGGCUUCAGUUCUUCAAAUACCAGAAUUUUGAAUAAUUCAGAUAUUUAAUCAAUUUCGGUUCGGAUUUGGUACUACUUAUUCGGAUUAUGAUCAGUUCGAUUCUUCAAAUUCGAGUUUUUUGCCCAACCCUAAAUAGUGACAUAAAAAACAAAUAGCAUCAUAUUUUUUAAAAAAUACACUUAGGGCGUGCGAAUCAAAAUCUAGUUUAGUUUUAUAUUGAUAGGAAAAUACAUUGCUAAUUAAAAUUUUAAAACAAACAAAAAUUAAUUUAAUAAUAUUUUAUAAAAUAUGGUAAGAAUGAAUAAAAUUUAUGCAAUUCUAGUAAUAUAAAAUAAAUAUUAACAGCUGGGUUUGAAAUUACUAAAUCAAUAAAAACAUGAUUUAUUGGUUUAUACAAACUAUGUCUUUGAGGACUCGGUUCGGAUUUGGAUAUCCAAUUUAAAUUAUUUUAAAAAUUUUAAAAUUUAUUAUAUGCUUUAAUUUUUAGAAAAUCUAUAAACAAUAGAAUAUAUUACAUAUAAAUUUGAAAAACAUAUGUCAGAGUACCUAACUUAACAUAUAAAUUGGUUUGCUUUAAAUAUUUGGAUAGAGAAUUAAUAAUUAUUUAAGUAUUUUUGGAGUUUUGAGUAUAUUUUAACUAUUUUAGAUAUUUACGUUUAAUUAUUUGUAUAUAUUUUCAAGUAUUUAAACAAACUUAAAAGUAACAUAUAUAUUCUGGAUGUUUUUAUAUAUAUUAAAUCUAAAAAUAAUUAAUAUAUAUAAGUAUAUAAAUCUAUUUUGGAUACCCAAUAUACUUCGGUUCAGAUCGGAUUAGGCUUCAGUUCUUCAAAUACCAGAAUUUUGAAUAAUUCAGAUAUUUAAUCAAUUUCGGUUCGGAUUUGGUACUACUUAUUCGGAUUAUGAUCAGUUCGAUUCUUCAAAUUCGAGUUUUUUGCCCAACCCUAAAUAGUGACAUAAAAAACAAAUAGCAUCAUAUUUUUUAAAAAAUACACUUAGGGCGUGCGAAUCAAAAUCUAGUUUAGUUUUAUAUUGAUAGGAAAAUACAUUGCUAAUUAAAAUUUUAAAACAAACAAAAAUUAAUUUAAUAAUAUUUUAUAAAAUAUGGUAAGAAUGAAUAAAAUUUAUGCAAUUCUAGUAAUAUAAAAUAAAUAUUAACAGCUGGGUUUGAAAUUACUAAAUCAAUAAAAACAUGAUUUAUUGGUUUAUACAAACUAUGAUUUUAGUGGUUUAUAUUUUAAAGUAUGAUUCCACAGCACCACUGCCUACUAGCGACAUCUAAAUUUUUAUUUAUAAGUAAAAUAUUUUAAUUAAAUUUUAAAUAACUAAAUCAAUAAAAAAUAUAUGUUAUCAAUAAAUAUAUGUAUAUUGAUUUAUUUUAAAUCUUAAAUAAAUAAUUAAGUUAAAUUUAUUGAGUAGUAUAAGAAUUUUUUAUACUUUUCAUAUUAGAUUUUAGAUGUAAUAGAAAUACUAAACUUUAGUGGUUUGGAAUUUCAUAUUGUUACGUAAUAACGAUAUACAAUAACUAUUUAAAUUGUAAAGUUUUUGUUCAUCGGUAAACCAAUACAACUAUUAACUCAUUAAUUUAAAUGAGUUAUGCAUUGAACAAAUCCAUUUGUCAAAUGGAUUGGAUUAGUACAUAAUCCAUAUAUUCUUAAAAUUAUUGGAUAAGAAUUGAUUUGGGUUAGUUUAUCCAUUUUGAUACUCCCAAGAAAGAGUUUAAAUCUAAGAAUGACUAGAAUUUUGAUACGUUGAUUAGUUGGUUGAAUUUCAGUAAUUUGACCCCUUAUUAGGUAGCGAAUAUUAUAUACAUAUGUUUUUUGAUUUUAGUGGAUUCUUUUCCGUCUGACUAGUAUGGCUAUUUUGAAAAAGAUUGUUUGCAAACUGGAAAACUGAUUGUAUCCUAAGUGUUAUUUACUGUGUAAUUGAUUAAGUAUAAAAUUAUAAUAUACCUUAAUUAAUUGGUUGGAUUUCAGUACUUUGACUCUCUUAUUAGGUAGCCAAUUUUAUAUGCAAAAGUUAGUGAAUUCUUUUUCUAGUUCUGCCACUAACUAGUACGGUUAUUUUGAAAAAAAAAUUCUGCAAACUCAGAAACCAAUUGUAUAUCUUUUUUGUUAUUAACGAAAACUUAUAUAGACCCAUGGUUUAGCCCAAAAGAGGCCCGUUUAUAGAAGAAAUAUAUCUGGACUUAGCCAACUCAUCAUCUUCCAUGCUCUCUGAACGAGGGGUGAAAGCGAAAGAGAUAAAAACAAACAGUAGAGAAAGACGGUUGAUGUCUGCAAGAAUCCCGAAGAUUUCCUUAAGAGACUGUUUGGAUGUAAUGGCUCUAAUCAUCGUUUGAUUAUCGGAGCACACUUGUAAACUGGCGAUAUCUAAGGUGGCUGCCGAUUAAGGAGCAGAUCGGACCACCAUGGCCUCAGCCAUCAACAAGGGAGCUGACGAAUUCCUAAACGUUGGAGGCUCGGUGAGCCAAAAACGGAUAACACCUGUAAAAAUCUAUAUAAGACCCGCUUCUUUGAUGCAUGGUUCCACGAAGCAUCAAUAUUGCUUUUGACUGUUGCAUGUCAUUUUUGUCUGAUGAGGAGAUUCUAUCCUUCCUCGUGCUUGAAUAAACUCCCUAGCAGUAGUUAAGCUUUUAAUCGUUUUUCCUAUAGAUGAUGAACCUCAAUCUUCGAAGAUGAGUUGAUUGCGCGAAGUCCACAAGGUCCAACAAACCCGAGGGAGAAUGUUGCCCAUGAUCCCUGACAGUGGAAGGCAUACUUUCUUGCGGAACAGGACGAGAGCUUCCCUUACAUCCUGAAGAGUAGCUAUGUGAAUUUAUUUGGUCUGGUUUUCUGUCCAGAUUUAUUCGGGUCGGUUCUAUUCGGUUCUGGUUCUUUUAGGCCAAAAAAUUUUUGGACCCAACUAAAUACUUGUGAAUUGUUUUGUUCGGUUUGGAUCGAAUAUUUUUGGACUGGUUUCGGUUUGGAUUUUUGGGUCCAUGCAGAAAUUCUCAUCUGGUAACACUACAAGAAAUCAUAAAUUUAACGACAGCAGUUUUCCUCGUGAGUUCGUCGUAAAAUAAGGUUUACGAGGAAUUAGCGAAGAAACGGGUUUCGUCGUUAUACAUUCGUCGUAACGCAUAUUUCCUCGCUAAUUCGUCGUAAAAUAGCGAGGAAACCAUUUCGUCAUAAAGAUGAAGAAAACAAAUCGUCGUAAAGAUCACGUAGAUAGUCCACGUAAGAAUGUCGCUAGCGUUCCUCGUAAAUACCACGAAAGCAUUUCCUCGUAAAUGACACGUACAUAUCUCGAAAGUAAUUCCUUGUAAAAUUCACGUAAUUACCUUGAAAUUCAUUUUUUUAGGGACAACCUUAAAAAAAAAAAAAUAUAUUGUUAGUAAAAAUUUAAAGUUAAAUUAAAUGAAUAAUAAAAAAAUUAAAAUUAUAGAAAAUUUACCUCCUCGUAAAUCUUAUGCACUUCAAGUGUGGAUAAGGUGACGGGUAAUCCGUCGGUAGACUGCUGGGUCAGCUGAGUCUGGCGGUCUUCAACCCGAGCAACCACGUCGUUGUAGAUUUGCUCGGACUUGCCAUCUACAAAUACGCCCGCCUUGUUCUUGUGGGUCCUCUCGUAAAGUUCCAUAAGANNNNNNNNNNNNNNNNNNNNNNNNNNNNNNNNNNNNNNNNNNNNNNNNNNNNNNNNNNNNNNNNNNNNNNNNNNNNNNNNNNNNNNNNNNNNNNNNNNNNNNNNNNNNNNNNNNNNNNNNNNNNNNNNNNNNNNNNNNNNNNNNNNNNNNNNNNNNNNNNNNNNNNNNNNNNNNNNNNNNNNNNNNNNNNNNNNNNNNNNNNNNNNNNNNNNNNNNNNNNNNNNNNNNNNNNNNNNNNNNNNNNNNNNNNNNNNNNNNNNNNNNNNNNNNNNNNNNNNNNNNNNNNNNNNNNNNNNNNNNNNNNNNNNNNNNNNNNNNNNNNNNNNNNNNNNNNNNNNNNNNNNNNNNNNNNNNNNNNNNNNNNNNNNNNNNNNNNNNNNNNNNNNNNNNNNNNNNNNNNNNNNNNNNNNNNNNNNNNNNNNNNNNNNNNNNNNNNNNNNNNNNNNNNNNNNNNNNNNNNNNNNNNNNNNNNNNNNNNNNNNNNNNNNNNNNNNNNNNNNNNNNNNNNNNNNNNNNNNNNNNNNNNNNNNNNNNNNNNNNNNNNNNNNNNNNNNNNNNNNNNNNNNNNNNNNNNNNNNNNNNNNNNNNNNNNNNNNNNNNNNNNNNNNNNNNNNNNNNNNNNNNNNNNNNNNNNNNNNNNNNNNNNNNNNNNNNNNNNNNNNNNNNNNNNNNNNNNNNNNNNNNNNNNNNNNNNNNNNNNNNNNNNNNNNNNNNNNNNNNNNNNNNNNNNNNNNNNNNNNNNNNNNNNNNNNNNNNNNNNNNNNNNNNNNNNNNNNNNNNNNNNNNNNNNNNNNNNNNNNNNNNNACUACAAGAAAACAUAAUCUUAACGAGGGCGGUUUUCCUCGUGAGUUCGUCGUAAAAGAGGGUUUACGAGGAAUUAGCGAGGAAACGGGUUUCGUCGUUAUACGUUCGUCGUAACGCAUAUUUCCUCGCUAAUUCGUCGUAAAAUAGCCAGGAAACCAUUUCAUCGUAAAAACGAAGAAAACAAAUCGUCGUAAAGACCACGUAGAUAGUCCACGUAAGAAUGUCGCUACUGUUCCUCGUAAAUACAAUGAAAGCAUUUCCUCGUAAACGACACGUAUAUAUCUCGAAAGUAUUUUCUUGUAAAAUUCACGUAAUUACCUUGAAAUUUUUUCCUCGUAAUUUUCACGUAAAUACCUUGAAAGUAUUUCCUCGUAAAAUACUCGUUUAACAUUUCUCGUGAUUUCCUCGUAAAUGUUCAACGUAAAUAAGUCGUAGAUUAGCUACGAAUCUACUUCGUUUUAUUAUUUAACAAAUUUAAAAAUAUAAUUAAAAAAUAUUUAAAAUUAUUUAAUUUAUUAAUAAAAUUAAAAUUUAAAAAAUAAAUAAAUACACAAAUAUUUUAUAUAUAAAUAAGUUUUGAAUUCAUAAUACAACCACGGAAAAAAAAAGAACUAAGAGUCGUGCAUCGCCCGGAGGAAUUCAUCACUCCUCAUGUCUACAUCCUCCUCAGCAUGUGUGUCGUCGGAUGGUCCCUCGCCUUGAAUGAGAUUUUGUCGUCGCAUGUUCCUCAACAUGGUCUCCCAUUCCGGAUUUGUGGCCGCUAUAAAGUCCAAGAAGCCCUCAAGUCCACCCACACGAGCUGUGAACGCAGAUUGCAUCGAGGCCAACUCGUUACGCAGCUGAGUGACUUCAUCAUCCCGUCGCUGACCAUAAGACGAUGUCGCUCUCGGAACAUCGUUGACGGAACCAAUCCCCAACAUCCGUCCAUUUUUUUAGGGACAACCUUAAAAAAAAAAAAAUAUAUUGUUAGUAAAAAUUUAAAGUUAAAUUAAAUGAAUAAUAAAAAAAUUAAAAUUAUAGAAAAUUUACCUCCUCGUAAAUCUUAUGCACUUCAAGUGUGGAUAAGGUGACGGGUAAUCCGUCGGUAGACAGCUGGGUCAGCUGGGUCUGGCGGUCUUCAACCCGAGCAACCACGACGUUGUAGAUUUGCUCGGACUUGCCAUCUACAAAUACGUCCGCCUUGUUCUUGUGGGUCCUCUCGUAAAGUUCCAUAAGAGACGGGAGAUGUCCCGUCUCUUUGGCCUAAAAAACAUUUAAGAAAGUUAGAAUAAAAAUAUAUAUAUUAAAAAAAUUAUUUAAUAAAAUAUUUAAUUACCAUUUCCAAACGGACACUGACGUGGGGUUUUUGGCCCGUAGUGUGAACCAUCGGCCCGUUCCCGUGCUCAUCGACCGUGUUACGGGAGUUAGAGCAAGACUAGGCGAUUCUAAUGGAAUCAGGAAGACGCCAAUAACGAAUGAGGCCAUCUCACACAUCCGUGGUGAGCUCAGCGGGUUUGUCACGCUCAUAUCCCGACAGUGUACUGCAAGUAAGGAGCCCUCGGAGGCACCAUCAAAUCGGGAUGAAUAUCGGCGGGCAACGGAGGAGCCAUUGGAGGAGGCACCGGAGGAGGCAUCAUCGGAUGAACCAUCGGAGGAGGCACAUGAGGAACCGAUGGUGCACUAGAAGAAGGAGACCGAUAGACUCUCUGAGAAAACUGAGUCUCGGGGACAGUCUCCUGACACGAAGAACCGGGAGCUGAAGAAGACGGGUCUAAACGACUACCCGGCUCACCGAACAUAUCUCUGUAAUGGGCAGUAAGUCUGUUCUUUCGAACCUGGAAAAAAAAUUUAAUUUUUAAAAUUAACAUCAACAGUAUAAUUCCCUACAUUAUCCACCUAAUCAACACUAAUUAACAUAAAACCCGUAAACCUAUCUAAAUUCCCUAUACUAACCACCUAAUCUAUCCUAAACUAAUCAAAUUAGAGAGGAAUUAGAGAGACUUACCAUUGCUACGAAAUAGAGAGGAAGUGGAGAGGAAGUGGAGAGGAAAGAAAGAGUGAGCGCUCAGGAGUAUAUAUAAGAUUACUUAUCCUCGUUAUUUCCUCGUAAAGUUACGAAGAAUUACAAAGGCCCGCGUUUUAUUGUACGAGGAAGUAGCGAGGAAUUACAAAGGCCCGCGUUUAGGUUUACGAGUUUUUUACGACGAUUAAGCUUACGUGGAAUUUAUGAGUCAACCUUUUACGAGGAAUUAGCGAGUCCCGCUUUUCUAUAAAUACCCGUAACUUUCCUUCUCAAACCACACACAAACUCACAAAUCACACACAAACUCAUAAAUCACACCCUAUCUCAAAUCACACACCUCAGCAAAAUGCUUUUCAAAUUAGAAAAAUUUGAAAAAAAAAAGAGGAGAAGAAGAUAUUGGAACACAUGUGGGCUAGACUUAUGUAAGUCUCGCGACAUGUGAUUCAUGUAUCUUUCUUCUCUUCUUUUUUUUCUAGUUUUUAUUCUACGAGGAAUUAGCGAGGCCUGUUUUUUUUUCUCGUCGAUUUGCACUUACGUGGAAUUAACGAGCCCCGCUUCUUUUUUUUUUCGUUAUUUCCUCGUUGGCUUACGAGUGCUUUACGGAAAUUUCUGCUUAGGUAGAAUUAACGAGGCCCGCGUUUUUUAUUUUUAUAUUUCGUCGUAAUUUCCACGUUUCUUUACGAGAAAUUAACGAGUAUUAUGUAUAAAUCCCUAAAAUCCGAAAACCCAAACUCCAAACCCCAUCUUCCUUAUCUUCUACUUCAUAUAUUCCAAACCCCAAACUCAUCUACCCUUUAACCUCAAUAUAUUCUUUCACCUCAAUCUAUUCUUUCCAUUCCAAACCCCAAUUCCUUAACUUAUUAUCUCAAUAUCUUAUUUAUAAAACAAACUCCCACAUUACCUUACACAAAAUCAAAUACAUCAAUCCGAUACAUCGACAUUCUCGUCAUCACUAGAAACAUCAUCAUUUUCAUUAAACUCGUCUUCAACAGCUUCCUCUGUGGCAUCGUCGGUAAGAUCUUCGUACUCGUGAUUAUGCGGAUCAAUGAGAAGGAUGUCAUCAAUUUCUUGUUCAGGUUCCUCGACUUCAUUUAUCUGUUCUUCUUGCAAUGGUGGUUCAUCUCCACUGAUGAUUUGUCCUCGAGGUGUAACUUUGAUCACGGCUAACCAAUUUAUACCCAAAUCUCUCAUCGGAGGGUAUGGAAGGAAGCUAACUUGGUCUGCUUGUGAAGCUAAGAUGAAAUGCUCGAAUUUGUUGUACCUUCGUCCACCGUUGACAGCAACUACACCGAAUUUGUUAAACCGAACACCUCUGUUGACGACGGGGUCGAACCAUUCACAUUUGAAGAGGACGCAUUUCAGCUUCAGUAUCCCUGGAAAUUCGACUUCAAUAAUCUCCGUCAAGAUCCCGUAGAAAUAUGUUUCCCCUUUCACACAUAUUCCAUAGUUACUGGUCGCCCGCUGUCUACCAUACUCAUAUGUGUGAAAAGUAUAGCCUCGUGUGAAAUACAUCUGUGAUGUGGUGACCUUUACAAGUGGAGAUUGAAUUACUUCGUGUAACCACUUAGGAUAAUCUGCAUCGUCAUCAUAAUCAACCUGCAAAAAUAAAGAGAAUGUCUUCGUUGAACAGUCAUACGUCCUCACCCCUGUUGACCACAAAUCCUCCAGGGACCUUUUUGGAUGGUUCGGACCAGGUAUUAAUAUGGUCAAGAAUAACAACUCCCAUUGCAUGAACAUCUCCGGUGGCAGGUUGUAUGGCGUAAGAAAGACUGGCAAUGAAUAUUGUCUCCCUGACAUUCCGAACGGACUAAAUCCAUCUGUGCAUAAUCCGAGACACACAUUUCGGCUAUUGCUAACGAAAUCCGGAUGUACUUUGUUUAAAUGUUUCCAGGCUCUUGCAUCUGAUGGAUGAGUCAUCUCACCAUUCGUAUGAGUAUGCUCGGCAUGCCAUCUCAUAUUUCCAGCAGUCUGCUCUGAUUGGUACAAUCUUUUCAAUAUGUCUAUAAUUGGUAGGUACCACAUCCUUUGGUACGGUACCCUAUUACGUCUCCGUCCUUGCGGCUUGAAUCAUGGCUUCUUGCAGAAUCGACAUUCUUCUAACUUCUCAUCAUCUCCCCAGUAGAUCAUGCAGUUGACGAUGCAAACAUCUAUCAUCUCCGAAUGCAACCCAAGACUAUAAACCAGUUUCUGAAUCUCAUAAUAAGAAUCAGCAGACACAUUGUCUUUCGGCAAAUACUCAUUAAACAAGUCUGCCAUUCGUUCAUGCAAUUUGCAGAUAGAUUGUGAUCAGUUUUAAUAUUCAUCAUUCUAUCAGCCAACGACAAAUUAGAGAGACCUUCUCUACAAUCACUGUAAAGUGGUUGAUUUGACGCGUUUAACAUUUCGUAAAAAUUUUUUGCAUCUAUAUUAGGUUCUUCGUCUUCAUCAUGAGCUAUGAAUGCAUCAGCUACCAUAUCAUGAACCCUAUCAUAAUCUACCAUCUCCUCCUGACGGUAACUAUGUUCAUUAUACAAAUGAUGAUCAACCGGUUCUUUGUAUUUAUAGGAAAUUUUCGAAUCUGAUAGUUGUAAUUUUCCUACGAAUUUACGACGAAAAUUAGUUAGGUGGCCGAAAAAAAACGUGUGACAAAUAAAUUUGGUGGAUUUAAAAUUUUCUCGCUAAGUAGACGUAAAUUAUUUCCUCGUAAAGAACACGCUAAGUUUACGUGGAAUGUACGAUGAAAUACGCUUUCCUCAUAAAAGCCACAUCACUUUACAUCGACUUUACGACGAAACUGUUUCGUCGUUACUUUACGAGGAAAUAACGCGGAUUUUAUUUUUCCGCGUAAUUUUCUCGUAAAGUCGACGUAAAUUUACGAGGAAUGUUUUUCCUCGUUAAGCUUGUGUUUUCUUGUAGUGUAAACGAAAACAAUGUCAUGUUGCCACAUAUGUCUCUCUGGAUUUUCUUUUCAUGCAAAUGUUUCCAUCCAGAAGUUAAUGGUUAUUCACAAUUAUGCUUACGAACCUCUUUCACUUAACUGUUGACUCAUUUUGGGUAACCAGGAACUAGAGAUUGUCAUCAUCAUCCUCUGUUCUCAUACCUGUUUGCAAACUCCUUGAGUAAUAGUCUCUGACGAAGACAAGAUACUUAUGUACACUAGCUUCAGCCCAUUGCUGAGAAAAAAGUUUUCAUCGUUUGCAAAAAAUGAGCUAAGAGGGAAUGGCACACUUUCUUUAACUCAACCAAGAAGUGGUGGCGCAGGCGUAUCGUUCGAUCCAGGGUCUAAACUCAUGAACAUUGGAGAAUUUGAUUACUUCUUCACUGUGUUGAAUUCCCUCUCUGUGGACCGUUGGAUCAAGACUCGUCAGAUGAAAUGGAUGCGUAGCUUCGUUUCUCGAGGUACAAGUAGAAGAACAUAGUUUGAUGAUUAAUCGUCGGCUCUAGGUGAACUCGCUGCAAAUUAUAGUAGAACCAUCGGUAGUUAGCUAAUUCAAUGGUAUCAUUAAUAAUGUAAUUUCAAUUCAUUAUAUCUAAUUAUUAUCCUAAUUAAUUGAUGGAUCUUGCAGCUUUCAUGCUACCAAUUAGGGGCGGGCGUUCGGAUUCAGAUCAGGUAUUUAAGGUUUUUUGAAUAUUUCAGUAUAGAGGUACAAAACUCAUUAGUGUAUUUUUUUUUAUACUUCAAAUUGGGUUUAUGUAUUUGAAGUUUGGGGAAUUCGGGUCAAAUUUGGGUUUUUGUAUUUUCACAAAUUUACAUAGUCCUCACAAAAAAAGAACAACAAAUGAUCAAACCAAAAUUCAUAACAUAUAAUUCAUGAAACAAACUCUAAAAACAUAUAUGUAUAUAUGACUGAUGUUGAAUCGCUUAACGUAAAUAAAAAUAAAAAGAAAAUGUUCGAAUAUGGAAAGAAGCCAAGGAGAAUAAUUUUUUUUGUGGUGUUCAAUUUAAUUAAUUUGAAACAAUUUAAUUUUAAAAUUGUGAUUAUCGAAAAUCUUAACCGACUGCGAGUUUAGUUAUAGCGAGAGAAGGAUAAGAGAUCUAUUUAGUUUUAAGUUAAGGUGUAUAUAUGUACAUAUGACUUUGGGUAGUGGUUCGGAUUUCAGAUAGAGAUCGAGAUCGAGUUCGGGUAUCUAAACUUGUUCAUUACAAAACCAAAUCAGAUAUUUUGCUACUUCGGUUCAGAAAUUUUUCCCUUCUAAUAUCAGGUAAAGGUCCAAGCAUACUACCCACUUAAAAGUGGGCCCACGAAAAUUAAAAAAAAAACGUAGGGAAAAUAACAAUGCGCUAUUGGGUUUGGAAAACGGAUACGAGUCCAAUAAUAUUGGGCCCAUUUGGAGAAGAAGACGCCUAGAAUCUUGGCCAACCUUCUUCCUCUACCGCUUUGAGUGCGUCACCGGAGAAUCUGCGGCUUCUGAAUCCUCGCCGGCGUACUGUCCUACAUUGCAAACAGAAAGCGGCACAGCUACACAUCAAUGGAAGCUGAAGAUGACCCCCGCAACAAGGACCUCUUCUUCGUGCGUCUCUCUAUUUUCCUUAAGAAUCUCUCUAUGGCUUUUGCCAAGUUUUAGUCUUUGUUGAUUCGUAAUUGUGCAGGAUGGUCAUCAUCAAUCUCUUUCAUCCACCGAAGCUGCUUAUAGUCCCAAUGCCAAGAGGAAAGUUGAAAGCGGUUUUGGUCUCUUCUGCGUUAUGAGAAAGAGAGCUCGUGGUGAUGAUGAUGACAUGUCUUCUUCGGAUUUCGAUUACGCAGAGAAAGGUGAUGACUUUUUCUGCAGUGACACGGACCUGUCUGAAUGUUCAGAGUUUGAUGUUAUAUCACAUCAUGUUGUACAAGACAAGAGUUUGAUUGGAUCAGAAUCUCUGUCUACAUGCAACUCUGAUGAUGAUAAGAUUAGCCUUGGAAUCUCUUCAAUGUCUUUAACGAAAACCCUUGGCGGACCUGGUAGGCAGUGGUCAGUGUGUGGCUCUGUAACCGCAGUCAGAAACAUACCUUUAUUGGGAGAUAGCUCAGCUGCUUUUAGUUCCUUGGAUGAACAGUUAGAUGUUAAUGUGAGCACCUCUGAGGGCAGGGAUGCAGAAGCUGAUGGUGAAGAUGACAUGUCCUUUUCUGACAUUGAUGCUAUGGUAAAACUUGAUUACUCUUUGACACACAAGCCUGUCAAAACUUUAUAAUUAAAAUGUGUGUUUCGUGAUCUCUGACUUCACUUGAAAACAUCUCCAGAUACGCAGAUUGAAUCUGAUCCCUGAUGAUUCAGAUUCAUGCUUAGAUAUGGAAGGUAGCUCAUAGUUACUAGUUCAUUUUGUUGCAUCCACAAAGAUUGUUAAAAAAACAUGUCACGCUUUAUGAUUUCUAGAACGGAACAUGUCUAAGCUUCCAAGGCAUACAUUACUUGGACUGGAACACUGCUCAGUGACUUCAGUUCCGAGAGGAAUUAUAUCUCAAGGGGCAAUAGCUGUCCUGCAUUGUCGUGAUUCAAAGCAUUUUAUCAGGAAACAAGAGGUAUGUAAGUAAUACAAUCAAUGUCCUAUGUAGUCAGUCGUCUUAGUUAUAUGUCACAAGCUCAUUUUGUCUGUUGAAAGGUAAUUAUUGGGAGGUCAUGUGAAGGCAUGAAUGUUGACAUUGACUUGGGUAAAUACGGUUAUGGGAGCAAGGUAUCUCGGCGUCAGGUGAUUCUCUUUAUCUCUUUCAAUGUUAAAAUAAGUUCACUAAUCAAAGUUCUUGAUUACCAUACUUUAUAUGUGACUAUACUUUUCUUCCUAGGCACUGGUGAAGCUAGAGAAGAACGGAACAUUCUCCUUAAAGAACCUUGGAAAGCGACAUAUCAUUGUAAAUGGGGAGAAGCUCAGUACAGGACAGAUUGCAUCCCUCGCAUCAUGUAGCUCAGUCGACGUAAGUACUAUAGAUUAUGCACGUUGAUGCAUCUUUCCAUUAACUAAAACUCUCAAAUUGUGCCAGAUCAGAGGAGAAGUGUUUGUGUUCAAGAUUAACAAAGAAGCAGUGAGACAGUUCUUAAAGAACAACGCACGGAGAAACAGCAAAGACGACACCAAGUUCAGAUGGUGCGAAUAGAUUAUUGUUAGUACCUUUUGCUCUACUCGCCUCUGCAUAGUCUUAAUCACCCACACCUAACGCCAAUGAGUGAUCCACCUUUGAUCAUAUGUGAACAUUUUGGUCUUCUUUGGUAUAUUUUGUAAGUUAUUUAGAGCCAAAUGAUUUGGAGCCUUUGCUUGCAACAGCUGCAAUCACUUCUCUAAAGUGUGUUGUUAUGUCAACAAUCAAAUUAGUUAAUGUACAUAUUGACAAUUUUUGGUCAAAUGGGUACGUCAUGGUAAGAAGACAACUUGAAGAAAAAAACAAAUCCUUAACUGAAUUUUGUGAAUUGGUAAUACGUCUAAUAAUAAUCUGAAUUUUUCUGCUUUGGAAUCUAAAGAGAAGAAUCAAAAGCUCUUCUUACAUCUAAGUUUAUGGUGGAUGUUGAUAGGACCAACCACACCUCACUUGUACAGUACUUGUCUUCACGCGUAUGUCGGAUGGACCAUCUCACACAUGAUCAAAUAAUUACAAGUAGAUAUAUUAAUUAUCAAUCUAUAUAUAUAAGAACAUCUUUCAAUGGCUCUAUCACAUGUCUUGCUCCGCUCAUCCAACGGUCCUUUUCCACUCCAAACAUGGCUUCUCUUGUUUCUCUUCUUCUUGUAUUGCUCACUUUUUCUUUAGCAGAGUCCAAGACUUACUGGGGUGACGUGGCAGCUCUCAAAGAGUUCAAGAACUCUGUCGACGCCAAGUCCAUGACACCUGGCUCAUGCCUCAGCUCCUGGGACUUCUCCGUCGAUCCCUGCGACAAUUUAUCCGGCGAGAAAUUCACGUGUGGCUUCCGCUGCGACACAAUCGUUUCCGGAUCGGGUCGGGUCACGGAGCUCAUCCUCGACCAAGCCGGGUACUCCGGCUCCCUCUCCUCCCUUUCAUUCAACUUCCCUUAUCUCCACACCCUCAAACUCUCCAACAACUACUUCUCCGGUCCGCUUCCUAACUCGCUCUCCAACCUCACCCGCCUCACCAGCCUCUUCCUCUCCGGAAACUCCUUCUCAGGAUCCAUACGCGGUUCCCUCGGGUCAAUGCCGCUUCUAGAAGAGCUCCUCCUCGACAACAACAACCUCAACGGCUCCGUUCCGACGAGCUUCAACCGUCUUUCCCGCUUAAAACGGUUAGAACUCCAGCAAAACAACAUCUCCGGCGAACUUCCCGAUCUAACCUCCCUCAAGAACCUAAACUACCUCGACGUUAGCGAUAACCGGAUCUCCGGUCCGGUCACGUCAUCUUUACCCGGUUCACUAGUCCAAAUCUCAAUGCGAAACAAUCUCUUCCAAGGAACGAUACCAGAGAGCUUCAGAAACUUAACCUCUCUCGAAGUUAUCGAUCUCAGCCACAACGAACUCGGCGGCUCGAUCCCAUCGUUCAUCUUCGCGCAUCAAACUCUCCAACAGCUAACUCUCUCCUUCAACGGCUUCACUUCUAUAGACUCGCCUCGCUACUCGCCCUCGGGUCUCCCCAGCGAGCUAAUCUCCGUGGACCUCAGCAACAACAAGAUCAGAGGCCCGUUACCUCUGUUCAUGGGCCUGUUACCGAAGCUCUCAGCUUUGUCGUUGGAGAACAACAGCUUCUUCGGUAUGGUUCCGACGCAGUACGUUUGGAAAACCGUGUCGCCUGCCGGGUUUCAGAGGCUGUUACUAGGCGGGAACUUCUUGUUUGGAGUCGUACCGGGUCCUUUGAUGGCGCUCAAGCCUGGCUCGGUGAAUGUGCAGCUCGCUGGAAACUGCUUCUUGUGGUGUCCCGCGACGUUUUUCUUCUGUCGGGGACAAGAACAGAGAUCUGUUACGGAGUGCAGAAAGUUUAGCCGUGUUAUUCCUUGAUUGUUUCUUUUUUUCAUUGCUUGGAUCUUCGGGUCGGGUCGGAUCUUUGUGAUCAUGUGAAGCUUUUAGGGGUCUUAUGGCAGUUGCUUAACCCGAAGCUUAAAAUGUGAUUAAAUUAAUAAAGUGCCGUUAAGAGAGUCAACUAGGCGAUGUUACGAUACUAAUUUAUGUAAUCAAUAACAUGGAUGAUUAGACCAACUCCAUUUGGUUAGAAUCCUUAAUGGGUUCUUAAAAUUAAUUUAAUAGUUAAUUGUGUACUUUAUGAGAUUUAAAACCUCUAUUAAUGUAAUUAGUUGUGUGAAGGUUCAAUGGAAGAACCCUUAUGAGGUUCUUAAAUAUUUUUUUUUAGAAAUUAAAUUAUUAAACUUAAAUAUUACAAAACUUAUAAAUUAUUUGAUUUCAUAACAUUUAAACAAACAUGACAUAAAAACAUAUGAAAAAUAGAAAUACAAAUUUAUAAUUAGAAAGCCAUCCAAUGAGCUUGUAGUUGGAUUCCUAGGCUGGCUUUGGGUAUUAUCAUCAUCCUCUUCUUCAUUACUAUCAAGACUCUCUUCAUCUUCGGGCUGAGAAUCGUUGUCUCCUUUAGCACAGACUUGAACUUUCAUGUGGGGGGGCAAACUUGGAGAAACACCGCUGUGGUGCGCAUAUUUUGAUGAGAAAUAGUUGACUGUCAGGUUCAAGCUGGUCACCAAGACACAUAGAGAGAUAUAUAAGUUAUGUCGGUAAUUAUAACGGAUACAACAGCGUAAACAACAACAAGAAGCUUUAUCUUUCUUUACCUAUUCCAAGCUGGAAGAGUUAGCGUUGUGUAUGCAAGCUUGAUCUUGCGUGCAAGUCCAGAGAAAGACUUGAAAGCAGCAGCAGCUUCUCGUACUGCACGCUUUCGGAUGCUGCCACGCCCACUCAAACUGCAACACGAGACAAGAAAGCAAGGAGCUUUAGCCAGGAAUUGGUGAUUAUUAUUUUAAAGUUUGAAGCUUGGGGGUAUCGAAGAUCAGAAACUUUAGACGACAAAAGAGUACCUUUGUUCCCUUAACAGCAAGAUGGUCUCCAACACACAUCUCCCUGUAAUCAUGAGACAUCCUUCCUUGCGGAUACAUCUAGCUUCACAAUGUUAAACAUGGUUCCGUUUUUCUUUAUUUUGCAGAGAGUUGAGAGACAACACAUUUUGAUUUUAGUUUUUAAAAUGAGGAAACCAGAACAUCAUCUGAAAUAUUAAUACCUCUAACUACGUUCUUGUAAAGGUAGACCAGCUACAACACCAUGUUAAAAAUUCAGGAACAAUGAUAAGAUUUAGACAAAAAUUCAAGACCAAGUUUGAUCCUUUUUUAACAUGUAGCUUCAAAGAGUAAACGCUAAAAACAAAGGCCUCUCCUUCAACGGCUUCACUUCUAUAGACUCGCCUCGCUACUCGCCCUCGGGUCUCCCCAGCGAGCUAAUCUCCGUGGACCUCAGCAACAACAAGAUCAGAGGCCCGUUACCUCUGUUCAUGGGCCUGUUACCGAAGCUCUCAGCUUUGUCGUUGGAGAACAACAGCUUCUUCGGUAUGGUUCCGACGCAGUACGUUUGGAAAACCGUGUCGCCUGCCGGGUUUCAGAGGCUGUUACUAGGCGGGAACUUCUUGUUUGGAGUCGUACCGGGUCCUUUGAUGGCGCUCAAGCCUGGCUCGGUGAAUGUGCAGCUCGCUGGAAACUGCUUCUUGUGGUGUCCCGCGACGUUUUUCUUCUGUCGGGGACAAGAACAGAGAUCUGUUACGGAGUGCAGAAAGUUUAGCCGUGUUAUUCCUUGAUUGUUUCUUUUUUUCAUUGCUUGGAUCUUCGGGUCGGGUCGGAUCUUUGUGAUCAUGUGAAGCUUUUAGGGGUCUUAUGGCAGUUGCUUAACCCGAAGCUUAAAAUGUGAUUAAAUUAAUAAAGUGCCGUUAAGAGAGUCAACUAGGCGAUGUUACGAUACUAAUUUAUGUAAUCAAUAACAUGGAUGAUUAGACCAACUCCAUUUGGUUAGAAUCCUUAAUGGGUUCUUAAAAUUAAUUUAAUAGUUAAUUGUGUACUUUAUGAGAUUUAAAACCUCUAUUAAUGUAAUUAGUUGUGUGAAGGUUCAAUGGAAGAACCCUUAUGAGGUUCUUAAAUAUUUUUUUUUAGAAAUUAAAUUAUUAAACUUAAAUAUUACAAAACUUAUAAAUUAUUUGAUUUCAUAACAUUUAAACAAACAUGACAUAAAAACAUAUGAAAAAUAGAAAUACAAAUUUAUAAUUAGAAAGCCAUCCAAUGAGCUUGUAGUUGGAUUCCUAGGCUGGCUUUGGGUAUUAUCAUCAUCCUCUUCUUCAUUACUAUCAAGACUCUCUUCAUCUUCGGGCUGAGAAUCGUUGUCUCCUUUAGCACAGACUUGAACUUUCAUGUGGGGGGGCAAACUUGGAGAAACACCGCUGUGGUGCGCAUAUUUUGAUGAGAAAUAGUUGACUGUCAGGUUCAAGCUGGUCACCAAGACACAUAGAGAGAUAUAUAAGUUAUGUCGGUAAUUAUAACGGAUACAACAGCGUAAACAACAACAAGAAGCUUUAUCUUUCUUUACCUAUUCCAAGCUGGAAGAGUUAGCGUUGUGUAUGCAAGCUUGAUCUUGCGUGCAAGUCCAGAGAAAGACUUGAAAGCAGCAGCAGCUUCUCGUACUGCACGCUUUCGGAUGCUGCCACGCCCACUCAAACUGCAACACGAGACAAGAAAGCAAGGAGCUUUAGCCAGGAAUUGGUGAUUAUUAUUUUAAAGUUUGAAGCUUGGGGGUAUCGAAGAUCAGAAACUUUAGACGACAAAAGAGUACCUUUGGUCCCUUAACAGCAAGAUGGUCUCCAACACACAUCUCCCUGUAAUCAUGAGACAUCCUUCCUUGCGGAUACAUCUAGCUUCACAAUGUUAAACAUGGUUCCGUUUUUCUUUAUUUUGCAGAGAGUUGAGAGACAACACAUUUUGAUUUUAGUUUUUAAAAUGAGGAAACCAGAACAUCAUCUGAAAUAUUAAUACCUCUAACUACGUUCCUGUCUAAAGGUAGACUAGCUACAACACCAUGUUCAAAAUUCAAGAACAAUGAUAAGAUUUAGACAAAAAUUCAAGACCAAGUUUGAUCCUUUUUUAACAUGUAGCUUUAAAGAGCAAACGCUAAAAACAAAGGCAGAUCAAAUAAAAUGAAAAUGAAAAUACCUGCAUGUUGAAGGAUGAACUGAUAAUCCCUAGAAGCAAGAUAACAGAUGCUAAGUAGAGCAUGAUAUGAUUAUUAGCCAUGAAUCUCCGUCUUCUCCCUGAUACAAAAAAAAUUCAGAAUCAAACAAUGAUUAGGGUUUACGGAUUGAUUACCGAUCGGCGAUUCAGUGAAGAGAGGUGAUUUCAAUUCCAACGAGGAGAUUCACAAGAUUCAAAUCAACACAUAAACUCGAAGAAUUCGAACACGGAUUUGGAGAAGGAGAGCAAAACCGAUGAGAAAGAAAGAGCAGAGAGAGAGAGAAGAUCAAUACACAGAGGACACGUAUGGGAUGCUUAGUGGUUCUAAAACCUCUUAGUUUAGGGUCGGUUCUUUGGUUUUAUCUCAUUUUUCAUUUAUUUUUUUGGUUUUUUUUUAGAACCCUUUCUAAAAGACUCCCAUGGAGAUGCUCUUAGAUAAGACGAUUCUGUUGGAUAUGGUUUUUGGACUCUAGCAGCAAACCUUUGGCGAGCAAAGAGUUUGUUUGGGAGAGAGGUGAGAUUUCUAAGUGUAGUUUGCUUGGGCUUUCCACUUUGGGCCCUAUUAUUUAAGCCUUUAUUAGACGAUACGAUAAACAAAAGUUUGAAGAACAUGAUUUUGAAUGUUUCAUUCUUUCUCUCCAUCUCCAUGGCGCACAAAAUUCAAAAAAAGGAGACAGCCGAAGUAAAUGUUAAAAGAGUGCUCCGAUAAUGGAAAUAUGGGCCUCUGUGGCACCUGAAGCGAAUAUCAUAAAGCUAGACCAAACACCAACAUCCCUUUCAAAAUUUUAAAGACAUUAUAACUAGUACUCAAUCAACAAGUAUUUUCCUUCGAUGAAGCCUUACAUGCAUUUGGGUUUUCUCAAAAGUCAACACUAGCAAUAUAUACAAUCUGAGAUGAGAUGAAGGAAAAAUUCGGAUUGUAUCGGUUCAUGAUAUGUCAACCAUUGAUUUCAUAUCAAACCAGCUUUCGAGAAAAAAAAACCAUUGAUUUCAUAUCCAUCAUAUAUUCUUUUUUUUUUUUUGCAACAGAGCUACAUCCUGUUUCCACCAUCAUAUAUUCUUAUGAGUACUUUUUGAGUGGGUGAAUAAAUAAUAGAAAAAAUUGCCAAAACAGAACAUAUAAACAACGUAGUUAUCCCUAUGUUAUAAAAUUAUAUUUGUCUAUUUAUUCUUCCUUUUACCCUUUCCAUUUAUGAAAUUUAAUGAAAUAAAUACUUUUAUGAAUCCAAAAAAAUAUUAAAAAUAUAAACAAUUAAUAAAACACCUAUAUACACAAACACAUAUUUUUUUUUUGGUUAAAAAACUUGAUAAAAAAAAUUUUAAAAUUACGUUCCACUAAAAGUAGAAUUCAUCUUCUACGAAAAAUGGGUUAGUAGAAAACGAAUUCCAGAAUAAACAAGUCCAUCUACUUUUUUUAAAAAAAAUAAUCUAAAAAUGAUUAAAAUUCUAAAUAUGGAGAAUGCGAAUUCUACUAAUCGUAAAGAUCGCUACUUUUCUUUUGAAUGCAGCUUCUACUUUUAUAAAGUAUUCUAGAAUUCCGGGUAUGCGAAAUCUAAACUUAACACGAACGUCUACAAAAAGUAGAAAUUGUAUUCAGAAUUUUUGUCAUGGUUCUACACAGUGUAGAAGGUGCCUUCUACGGAUAAAAACCUAGUUUUUCCAAAAAUUAAGGAAGUUUCAGUUAAGAAAAUAUUCUAAAAAUAUUCUAAUUUCCUAAAACGUGUCCUGGUCGAUUUUCUUUGUGAAAAUAUAAAAAAAAACUAUUUUGGCUUUUCUUCUUCAUCAAUCUAUGAUUUCUCCAUAGUUUGUCUUGUGAUUUUCAAAAACUCUUGUUCUAUGAUGCAUAUUAAUACAAUAUGUGGUGUUUGGGAAUUUAGUGUAAGCACAUGAUGAGUUUUUUUGGCUGAUGAUAAUUGGGGUAGGCUAUUGUUAUUGGAAUCAAACUCUACCUUAGAGGAUUUUAAAAGAAUAGUUUUGGAAGAUUUUAGAAAUCAAAUGCAAUUAGGUUACGGGAUAUUUUUUUAUUUGUGUCGUGUGUUCUUUUUUUUUAAAAUUGUUUUUACAUUUUUUUUCUUUUUAAAACAUUAUGGAAUUACCUUAUUUUUUUUUUAUUUUUUUCCAUUAAACUUUUUAAAAAUGGUUUUAAUUUAUGUUUAAUUUGAUUAAGGAAAUGUUAGUUUUGGGAUUAUAAAAAAUAUUAUACUAUAGAGACAACUUAGUGAUGAUUUUAUAUCAUAGGGACAACUAUAUUGUUUUUUUGUUCCGUUUUGGCAAUUUUCUCUAAAUAAUAUACACAAUUUGCUUGCCCAUUCCUAGAAAUGGUAACAAUAUUUCAAUCUUCGAUACAUUAGUAUUUCUUAGCAUUUAAUUCAAAAUAAUCAACAAUGUUCCUGGGCGUUGUCGGAAUCUGCUUUAUUGCCACUUUUUAGUUGUCACGAAUUUGAAAAAGGGGAAAAAAGGAAAAAGGAAAAAGGAGAAAAAGUAAAUGCGACCAUCAAUUAUUAUUCGUGAAUAAUAUAUUUAAAUCUGACUUUCCAUCGUAGUAGAACUUGAUAUUGAAAAUGCAAAUGACUGUUUGAACAAAAAAAAAACAAACACAUUAACUAUUUUUGAAAAUAUGUAGUAUUACUUUGAUCAAAAAAAGAUGUAGUAUUACUUGAAUUAUUGUAGUUAAAGCAUCAUUCGGGCAUCAUUUUUUUUGUUUAAUCUUGAGAAAUGAAAAUAUCCCAAACCCAAAUGUAUAAGCUAAUCUUCAAAGAAGAGGUCUAGUCCAAAGAUGAUUUUUUAUUCUGGAUAUUCAAAUAGGUUGUAAGAUAGAUCCAUAUUCGCGUGGUCCCAAAGUAAAACUUAGUGAAAUGUCUUCAAACCUUAAGAUUGUUUAGCACCCGAAAGCAUGUCUACCAUUAGAUCAGCACAUUGUGGUUAGUUAGGACAUGAUCUUAUAUAAGUAUCUUACUAGUAUAAUAUCAAUAUUUUUAGUCUAGUUUAAUUAAAUAAUUUAAUUUAAAAUUAUAAAAAUUGUCUAAGCCAAUGAAACAAAGAUUGUAAGUUCAGGAAAAUGUCGGAUAGUGAAACAGGGGAGGUGUUACACGAGUUGAUGGAUGUGUAACUCGCGGUUACAAGUCAGUUAUGAGAUCUGGAAGAUUUGGGUUUAUCACAAUAUUAUGAAAGAUAGAAUAUUAUGUUAAGGGUAUUUAACCUGAUUACUUUGGGUAGAUCUAGGUUAGCCGUUUAAGACUGAAAAAGCUAGAGCAAGAGGUUUGUUCUUGAGAGCUGAAGAAAUACGAGUGACAUUGUGUGCAGCUCGUGUUUCUGUUUUGUGAGAUUAGAAAUUGGUCCGUCUCUAGUCGUGUGUGACUGAGAGUAAUUCAGAUUAAACAGAUCUAGGAAGAUUGUUUAACAGAUUUCUAAUAUACAAGAAAGCGUUCUUGGUAUCCUGCGUCUUUGUUCCUGUAACUGGUAGUCUCUGAACUUUCAUUUGGUAUCAGAGCAGGAAACCUUUGUGGUAUCAUAUACUACUAACAGGUUGAGAUCCUGCAGAUUUCAUGGACACCAUGAAGGAACUAUUCGGGAUUCAUAAACCUAUCAUGCUGGACAGUUGCAACUUCGGUCAUUGGAAGGCGAGGAUGCGACAGUUGAUCAGAGGAAUUGAUGAGGAUGCAUGGACCGCAGUAGUGGAAGGCUGGUUUGUCCCUAAAAUGAUGACCGGCGACAAAACCUUGGCCCCAAAGCCAAAGGAUAGGUGGACUGAUCAAGAGAAGGCAGCAUCGAAGUUCAACUCUAAAGCCCUCACUGCAAUCUUCUCUUCGGUGGAUCUGCACCAGUUCAAAAUCAUCCAAGGCUGUGAAUCUGCUAAAGAGGCAUGGGAUAUUUUGACCAAUCACUUUGAAGGGAAUACUAGCGUGCAGAGAACAAGGAUCGAUCACUUAGCCUCAAAGUUUGAAAACCUUCGCAUGACGGAUGAUGAACCAAUUGACGGAUUCAUUUCAAAUAUCAGUGAACUUGCUAGCGAAGCAUCAGUUCUUGGAAAGAAAUAUGAUGAGAAGGAUUUGGUAAAAAAAUUAAUAAGAUGCCUACCUCCACGAUUCGAAGCUUACAAGGCUGUACUGGAUAUAGUCGUUAAUACUGAUGAGAUGAAGUUUGAUCAGCUGUCUGGUAUCUUAAAAGUUCGUGAUCUGGAGAAAACUAAUCGAACUGCAAACUCUCAAAAGAGCAUCGCUUUUGUAGCUGACUCUAAAGAGCAGGAUUGAGUCACAAAGAUUGAAGAGAACUUGGGACUAAUGGCUCCAAACUUCAACAUGUUCAUCAAGCGAAUGGAGAAAGGAGGGAAUCGAUCCAACUCACGGUUUCAGAGGAAUGACUCAGAUCAAAACAGCUCUCAGUACACUAGGCAAGACUCGAAGAACUCGAAGAAGAAGGAGUUGCAGUGUCAUGAGUGUGAAGGCUAUGGGCAUUAUCGCAUUGACUGUCUGCUAGCUAAACGAAAAGAGCUGAAGUGCAUUGACUGCAAGGGUUUUGGUCACACUCGAAGUGAAUGUCCUAAUAAUCUGAAAAAGGAUAAGUCACUCAUGUGUUUCAGUGAUACAGACUCAGAGAAUGACAGCGAUGGAGAUGAGCUACAUCUAAACUUUAUGGCACUUAUCUGCAAGGAAGAAGAACCAAAGAUGGAUUCAGUCAUGGAUGAGGAUGAAGAUGAUCUCAGCAACGACCUUGAAAUAGAAUAUAAGUCUCUGUUUGAAAAAUUUUCUGAACUCAGCCAUGAGAACCUACAACUACUGAAAUAUAAGGCCAUGCUAAAAGCUCAGGUGAAUAUCUUGGAAUUGGAGAAACCUUCAAAUCAAGUUGCUGAAUUAUCAAUCUUAAAGAACUCAGACCAAGAGAUGUUGUCCCUUAAGAGAGCGAUGACAGAACAUGAAAGGGUGCAGAAGUAGUUUGAGCUGAAGGUAAGUCAUCUGAAUGAUCUACUGAUCAAAGAGAUGGACAAUAGCAAAUUACUUGAAAAUCAACUCGCUGAAAAUCUCAAGAGAGUAAAAAUGCUCACUACUGGCACAACAACUCUGGAUCAUCUUCUCACCAUUGGUCAGUGUCCUACCAGCAGUUGGGGUUUGGGUUUUCAAGGCUCUGCAUCCAAAUCUGUCGAAGAAACUGUAUUUGUGAAAGGUAGUUCGAAAGUAAAAGAAAUUCAAGUAUCGAUAAAGGUUCAUCCUGAUAAUCAGAAAAGUGGAAACAUGAAGAAGACUACUACUACGCAACGAGGAAAUGGAUGUCACUUCUGUGGAAAGUGUGGUCAUAACAUCCUUGUAUCAAGGAUGCUACUUCUGAAGAAAUCAGUAUCAAGGAGCCUCGAGAAUGAAUCUUUGCUUUAUGGAACCAUCCUUGUAUGGUCAUGUUUGGAUAGCUAAGCGAGAUCUGUACCCGAACUACAAGCAGAGAGUCUCGACUGUCUCACACAUUGAGAACAAUGAACUACACACUGAUGCAGAACAACCUAUCAUCUGCAACUUUGCAACCUUGUCUACCGAAACUGAGUUAGUGAGCAACGUUGCAUACACAAGUUCUGAUUCCAACCUACAGUUUGAUACUCAUUGGUACUUUGAUAGUGGCUGCUCAAAACAUAUGACAAGAAAUCAAGAUUUCUGUGAGAAACUAGAGUUUAUCAAAGGAGGCAAAGUAACCUUCGGUGAUGGUGGUCAAGGAAAGAUACGAGGUGUGGGUGAAUUGGACAAGGCUGUCUUACCUAGGCUCAUUAAUAUCUUCUAUUUGGAUGGUCUUAAGGCAAAACUCAUCAGUGUCAGCCAACUGUGUGAUGAGGGAUUGGAGGUUAUCUUCAACAGCAAAGAAUGUCGAGCUGUCGAUGCUAGAGGGAAUGUGGUUCUAUGCGGUGUGCAAUCUGGAAACAAUUGUUAUAUGUGGAAGACAUCACAUUUGUGCUACUCGGCUAAAGAAUCUAAGUUGGAUCUUUGGCACAAAAAACUCAGACACAUGAAUACUAAUGGUCUGACCCGACUGGUCAAUGCUGAGGUUGUUAGGGGAGUUCCAGAACUGGAGAAACAAACUGACACUGUGUGUGGAGGUUGCUGUCAGGGAAAACAGGUUAAGGUUCAGCACAAGCAGAUUUCUGAGAUCAGAUCCAAGGGGAUACUGGAGCUGGUGCAUAUGGAUCUUAUGGGACCAAUCACGCCAGACAGCAUUGCUGGAAAAAGAUACAUCUUUGUUCUUGUAGAUGACUUCUCCAGAUACACUUGGGUAGACUUCCUGAGGAACAAAUCUGAUGCAUUGGAAAGUUUCCGUAUUCUGGCUUUGCAACUCAAACAGGAAAAAGACGGCAUAGUGCAGAUCAAGAGUGAUCAUGGAGGUGAGUUUCAAAAUGAAGAAUUUGAUAAAUUCUGUCACAGUCAAGAAAUCCAACAUAAGUAUGCAGCUCCCAGAACUCCUCAACAAAAUAGAGUAGUGGAAAGAAAAAACAGGACACUACAGGAGAUGGCUAGAGCUAUGCAGUGUGGAAACAGUGUACCAUCCGAUUUUUGGGCAGAAGCUAUAGCCACUGUGUUAUGUGAUAAAUCGCGUGUAUGUCAAGCCUAACAAAAAAAAACUACUCCAUAUGAAGUGUUCAAGGGAAAGACGCCAAACCUCAGUCAUAUGUACGUCUUUGGUUAUCUGUGUUACAUCUUGAAUGAUAAAGAACAUCUCGGGAAGUUUGAUGCAAAGAGUGACGUUGGGAUGUUUUUAGGAUAUUCAACAAACAUCUCAGCAUACAGAGUGUUCAAUCAACGCACCAAGUUCAUUGGAGAUAAUGUAAAUGUUGUGUUUGAUGACAGUAUCAUAUUCUAUCAAGCACGAGUAACUCAGAAAAUUGAGUGUGUCACACAGCCAGCUUCAUCAUCCUCUGAGGUAAAAAUCAAAUACGUGUCAGAAGGAGAGGAUGAUCAGACCAGGGAACAGCAUGUUGAUCUGGAUAAAGCUAAAGUGCAUAAGAAUCACUCUCCUGCUGAUGUGAUUGGUGGAGUGUUUGACGAGAGAGUCACAAGGAAGAAGGAGAUUGACUUCAAGGAAAUGGUCAAGCUUGCGUGCUUCAUAGUUGAGAUGAACGAACUCGAGUGUUUUGUAUCCUUGAUUGAACCUAAAACACUCCAGGAAGCACUAAAUGAUGAGUUUUGGACAGAGUCUAUGCAUCUGGAGCUUGAGCAGUUUGAUCGGUUACAGGUAUGGGAACUAGUUCCACGACCUGAUGGUGUCAACAUCAUUGGCGCUAAAUGGAUCCACAAGAAUAAGACUGAUGAAAAUAGGAACGUGGUCAGAAACAAAUCUAGACUUGUGGGACAAGGCUACACACAAAUCGAAGGUGUGGAAUUUGAUGAGACAUUUGCCCCAGUUGCACGACUAGAGUCGAUCAUACUUUUGUUCGGAAUGGCAUGCAAUCUGAAGAUUAAGCUCUAUCAAAUGGAUGUGAAAAGUGCAUUCCUGAAUGGUGUGUUACAGGAAGAAGUCUAUGUCACACAGCCUAAGGGGUUCGAGGAUCCUCACUUCCCUGAUCAUGUCUACAAACUCAAAAAGGCACUGUAUGGACUUAAACAGACUCCCCGAGCCUGGUAUGACCGACUGACUGAGUUCUUUACUCAGGCUGGGUUUCAAAGAGGAGGAGUUGAUAAAACUUUGUUUAUUAGUGAGAAUGGAAAAGACAUACUUAUCAUCCAAGUCUAUGUUGAUGAUAUCAUAUUUGGAGGAACCUCUCAGUCCAUGGUUGAUGAGUUUGUUAGAACUAUGACCAAGGAGUUCGAAAUGAGUAUGGUGGGUGAGCUAAGCUAUUUUCUUGGACUGCAAGUCAAGCAGCUUAAUGAUGGAAUCACGGUAUCACAAAGCACAUAUGCAAAAAAUCUUAUUAAGAGAUUUUGGAUGCAAACGAGUAAGACAGCCAAUACUCCGAUGAGCACAACUACAAAGCUGUCGCGAGAUGCUGAUGGGAAACCGGUCGAUGAAAUGCUCUAUAGAGCCAUGAUAGACAGUCUGCUGUACCUUACUGCGAGUCGACCUGAUCUAUGUCUAUGCGUAGGUAUUUGUGCACGAUAUCAAGCCUCUCCAAAGGAAUCACAUAUGAAUGUUGUCAAACGCAUUAUCAAAUAUGUGAAAGGUACGUUGGAUUUUGGUCUACAUUAUACCUUUGAAACUAAUGUGAAUCUUACAGGGUUCUGUGAUGCUGACUGGGCAGGGUGCUUCGACGACAGACAUAGCACAUCUGGUGGAUGUUUCUUCCUUGGAAACAACUUGGUAGCCUGGCAUAUCAAGAAGCAGAACUGUGUCUCUCUAUCAACCGCCGAGGCUGAGUAUAUCGCCCUGGGGAGUUGUUGCACUCAAUUACUGUGGAUGCGCCAAAUGCUCGUGGACUAUGGUAUCAUCUCUGACCCUAUGCUAGUUCAUUGUGAUAAUAUAAGUACUAUAAACUUGUGUAAAAAUCCGGUUCNNNNNNNNNNNNNNNNNNNNNNNNNNNNNNNNNNNNNNCUGACAGGACUUAUUCAGCAUUCACGUACCAAACAUGUUGACAUUCGACAUCACUUUGUGAGAGAGUUGGUUGAGAUGAAAAUCGUGAUCCUGGAGCAUGUACCAACUGAAAGACAACUGGCUGAUCUAUUCACCAAACCUCUGGACUAUAACACGUUCCUAGGCCUUCGAAAGGCCUUAAGGAUUGUGAAUCUCUGAAUAAGUCCUGUCAGAAGAGGAGAGCUGCUGUAUAUAUGUGUUACUGCUUGUCGAUAUGUCACCACAACCCCAAAACCUUGCGCCAACAAGUUCGAUUGUGUAGCUUACUCCACCUAUCUUCUCAAUAGUACAGUCACUUGAUUCGCUGGUGAAAGACACUCAUCUUUGACCAGGAUGCUGCAACAUUUUUGGUCUGAGCAUUGAUCACUGUCUGGAUUGAAUGAAGAAACACAACAGAGACUGAGUGAAAAUAGGCAGAAGGAGAAUAUCGUAUCUCAUGCAAAUGCAAAAAAAAAAAGAAAGGGAAAGGCCCGGAAUGAUGGUUACUCGUUUUGGAGCUGGAUGACACAACAUUCUGACUCUGAUUUUGUUCACUGUCCGGAUUGGGCAGGGUUGAUGUCAACUCUUCGAGAUAGCUCAGCCUGGAGUGAGGUGUUGCCCCACUUUGUCUCUAGUAUUGACAACUGUCUCACUCACUUGAGUUGAUAAACAGACUCUGAUAAAAAGAAAAAAAAAAUUUGUUUACUCUGUCUGUCGAGUUGGAGAGACAGACCCACAGGAUGUCUACACUAUGUUUCCAGACCAUACAUAUGACUGUGCUAUAGGAGCUAAGGUGUGAGUGAGUUAUGCAGUAGAAUCAUGUCUGUGUCAGCUACUCGGCUGAGAAAUAGCUACAGAUUUGGGUUGGUCUCUCUGAUUUCUAUUAAAACCUCUAGGUGACUUAGUACGAGUGGGAAGCAAUCUCUGUAGCUCUCUUCUGGACGCUAAAGGCAUCCUUGAGUAUGUCUUCAGGCGGUUUGUUCAAGAUACGGUUUCUCUUGCGUGAUGUAUUGCUCACAAGGUCAUGAUUAUCAGUCACACAAACUCUCUCUCUCACAAACGUAAGUUAUGUUUGUACAUGGUAGUUUUAAAACUUAAUAAUAAUUAAAAAAUGCAACGGUUUGAUUUUGAGUCCUUCAUUCGUUAGUUCUGGUUCGUUUGUCUUGGGCCUAUUUUUGUGUUUUCUAACGGGCCUUGUGUAUGUCAGAGGCUCUCUUGUUGAUUUCUCUCCGAGCUGAUUAAUUCUCUGUACUGCACUCCUGGAUUUGAAGAAAAUCCCAACUUGAUGGAAGAAAGCAUUGAUGAAGUUUGUGGUUUUCUCACCGGCGGCAUAAUAAGACGAUGGGAGAAUAUGAGUUCGAAGUAUCUCACCGCUACAAAUCAGGUUAUGUACAAACUCGUCUGCUCGAAUUGGAUUCCUACCAUGAACUAUACAUCUAUGAAUCAGAAGCGUCUCAGGUUUGUCUACAUGCUCCAUCAUAAUGAUGGAUUCGACUUUGGGAAACUAGUCUACGAUCAAAUUAUGGCGAUGGCAGGAAACACUACGACAGAGAAGACUCGUUGCAUCAUGUUUCCUACCUUGAUUCAACAUGUCAUUCUCUUUCAGCGUACUAUACCUCCUGACACUCUAAAUGAUGAAUUCACGGGAACUCCAAAAUUGGUCGUCAAGGACAUUAAGGCCGGUCGAGGGUCUGGAGCAGAUUCAAGUGCUGCCAGUCUUGAAGAAGACAUCAAUCGUACCAUUGCUGGCCUCAAAGCCAUUCGAGUUUGCCUGAGGAGUAAGGGAGUUGUACAGUAUUUAUAUCUUUACCUGCUGCUUGUCUAACAAAUAUGUUAUUCUCUUAAUGUGCACCUAAGCAGGGGGAGAUUAUGUGCAAUAUGUCCCUCAUCCUGCGUUUGAUGAAGACGAGGAGGAGGAUGGAGAUGAUGAAGACGAGGAAGAGGAUUGAGGCGUCUCUGAAUAACUACUGUGUCACAUCUAAAUUUCUUUAGAAAGUGUGAUGUUGAUGUUAUUAAUCUUGUGGCAUCUAAGACUUAGACUAUGUGUAUUGGCUAUGCUUUUUAUGAAUCGUAUUUGCAACUUAUUUAAGAAUGUGUUUUUCAAGCUCAUAAUUAGUGGUUUAAGUUUUCUAGUUAUCUCCAUGCUCUUGGAUAUUUGUAUUGUGUGGUUAUUUGCAGUGCAUGAUGCUUAGGUUGUCAUAUUCAGAUAAAAAAGGGAAGAAUGUAAGCUCAGGAAAAGGAGCAUGUCGGAUCGUGAAACAGAGGAGGUGUUACACGAGUUGAGGGAUGUGUAACUCGCGGUUACAAGUCAGUUAUGAGACGAUGACAUGUCAGUGUCUCAUUGGUUCCAGGAUAUUACUUUGGCGUGAAGCAAAUGAGAUUUUGAAGAUUUGGACUUAUCACAAUAUUCGGAAAGAUAGAAUAUUAUAUUAAGAGUAUUUAACCUGAUUACUUUGGGUAGAUCUAGGUUAGCCGUUUAAGAUUGACAAAGCUAGAGCAAGAGGUUUGUUCUUGAGAGCUGAAGAAAUACGAGUGACAUUGUGUGCAGCUCGUGUUUCUGUUUUGUGAGAUUAGAAAUUGGUCCGUCUCUAGUCGUGUGUGAUUGAGAGUAAUUCGGAUUAAACAGAUCUAGGAAAAUUGUUUAACAGAUUUCUAAUAUAUAAGAAAGUGUUCUUUGUAUUCUGCGUUUUUGUUCCUGUAACUGGUAGUCUCUCAACUUUGAAAGAUAUGUUAAAAAGUUUCUUUACUUUAUUUUAGAGUAUUUUGAGAAAUUCUUCUCAUUCUUUCUUAUACAUAAUCACUUUUUCAUUAUUAUAUUUUUGAAAAAAAUCAUUGAGAUACUUCUAUUGAAGAUGUUUUUACAGUUUCACAGAUAAGUGCCUGACCAACGAUCAUUUUCCUUAACCACGAUAUUAAAAUAGAAGGAAUAUAUACAUAUAUUAUAUAUAACUAAAAUUAAAUAUUGUGAAAAUAUUUGCUCAGCAUACGAGUAAUUUGGUUUGUUCACAUGCAAACAAAAAAUAUGAAUGCAUGUGAGAUAAAUAGAAGCAAGAUUACAAGUUGGGCAAAACCUUUAAUAUGAGAGAGUUAACGUGACCGAGAGGAAGAUAAAAGCUUCAAAGUUCACAUGCAGCUUUGCUCUUUUUAUAAACUAUGUCACAGACAUCGGUAAGGCUAUAAACUUAUAAGGCAGAUAACACGUUUUUCACGCAGUCAUUCGAACCAAAUGUACAUUUAUUACGAGAAGAAACAAAAUGUAUAAACUACAAAUGACUUUGCAUAAUUACAUCUAAUAGGCUACUAUAUAAAAUAAAAUAAAAUUAUCAAAAAGGAAAUUGGAAACUUCAAAGUAUAAAUCGAUCUUUAACAUAAUUGAGAAUUUUUCAAGAUACCAUAAACAUGAGUAAUUUUGCAUAAGAAAAUGCCAUUGUUUGUUGUUAUAGUCUUAUAGAGCAUUUGUGAUCGUUGUAGCCGAUAUCCUAAGCAAAGUCAAAUGAAACAUUCAAUUCUAAUCUUCAUUUUUUUUUUGAAUAAAAACGACAUAGACAUCAGCUUCUGAAUUUGUAAGAAUUUCUUUAUUAAAAUUUUUACUAAAUCACCUACAUCUAUUUAAAGCAUUAUUGAUCGUAUAUUUACACGAGAACUGAACAUUUUAUAAUUUUUUUAUAAAGUCCACACAUUGAUGGAAAUAUUCCUACUGAUCAUAUUAAUAUCUUUGAUAAAUAUCUAAAAUGUGUUGUGAAAAUAAAUCUUCAGAUGUUUAUCUAAAGCCGUGUUUUAUGGGAAAAAAUUCAAAAGAGGAUUUUGACAAAAGACUAGAAAGGAGUUUAGAACAUUAGGGGUAAAAAGCUCUCUUUGUAGAUUCGAAAGUCCCUUAACUCUAGAGCUGCCUUUGUGCUUUGAAAUUGUAGAAACCUCCAAGAAAAAAAAAAACUUAAUGUUGAUAGUCCAAGUGAUGAAUGAAUUCUAAUAAAAAUGACGUCUAGAUAGUUUCUCUUUACACGCCGAAAGUUUGACUUUAGUUUUGUAAAUAAUAUAAAAAUCACAUUCUUAUAGAUUUACUUGUUUUUAAGUUUUGAUACAAAUUUUAUGGAAAAUGUCCGAUUUCAGCUUAAAUUUUUCAACAGAUCUAUUAUUUCAACUCUGAUAUUAUUAUGCUAAUUUAAAAUAACAAUUUAAAUGAUCAAAAAUACAUUUAAAUGACUAAAUUUUAUAAUUUAUACAGUUUAUUUAAAAUAAAUUUUAACCAAUAUUUAAUCGAUACAAAUUAAAGAAUAAAAACAUAACCAAAACAUUUUUAUACGUCGAAAAUGGAUUUUUUUCCAAAUUUAACAAAAAAGGUUUUAAUUAGCAAUAUAAUUAAUCAAAUAUUCUAACGUUUUUAUCCUACCGUCAUUUAAUAACUCAAAGUAAAUGAUAAUUCAGGUAGGAUUCGAAUCAAAAUUUACUAAAUUUCUCUAAUAAAUUCCUUCUUAAAACCCUAAACUCAAUUCUGAAUGUUAUCAGGAGUCCAAUUCCAGAUAGGCUCAAACAAAAUUAUUUAUUUAUUUAUUUUAAAAUCUUCACUAUAUAUAUAAGAAACGCCCACAAUCUCUUCCGCGUAUUUCGUCUUCUACAAAAGCUUCUCUAAUCACUAGCACGCUCGCCUCCGCCGCUACCUUUACUUCCUUUCACAAACCUCAAAAGCCAAAGCUAAAUCAACAAGUGAUUUCGAUUAUCCCAUUCUCUCCGGUUCAAUCGAUUCUGAUGGUAUGUUCUUCAAUCUCCCUAUCUAAGUUUCCACUGUUUCCGCUUCUGAAAAUUACGUCGAUGGUAGAGAUUUUUGGGGGUUUUGAUUCGAUAGUUCUCCGUAAUUUAGGGUUCCUACGAUUCGUGACUCAAUCUGCUCGAUUUAGGUUUGAAUUCGAUACUGCGAAAACUGAAUCUCAGCUCUGAAUCGCUGAUUCUACGAUUUUAAUUACGAAAUGAUUCUCUAGGUUUUGGACUUGCGUUUUCUCUAGAUUCGAUUCGAGUACUGAAACGGUGCCGUUUUGUGAAUUCUGAUUAGUCAGUUUAAUCAGAAUCUCACUCUGUUUUCACUAAACAGAUGCUUCCUUGUGCGAGCUCCGAAUCCGAGCCCUUGGACAAGGACUCUGAGCCUUUCGUGGAAACAGAUCCAACCGGCAGAUACGGUCGUUACGACGAGCUACUCGGCUCAGGCGCCGUCAAAAAAGUGUACAGAGCCUUUGACCAAGAGGAAGGCAUCGAAGUCGCGUGGAAUCAAGUCAAGCUGAGAUGUUUCUCCGACGACACAGCCAUGCUCGAGAGGCUCUACUCUGAGGUCAGGCUGCUUAAGAGCCUCAAGAACACUAACAUCAUCGCCUUGUAUAAGGUCUGGAGAGACGAGAGGAGCAACACUUUGAACUUCAUCACCGAGAUUUGUACCUCUGGGAACUUGAGAGAGUAUCGGAAGAAGCACAGACAUGUGUCUAUGAGAGCUUUGAAGAAGUGGUCCAAGCAGAUACUCAAAGGGUUGGUUUAUCUCCAUACGCAUGAUCCUUGCAUCAUCCAUAGAGAUCUCAACUGCAGUAACGUUUUCGUCAAUGGAAACAUCGGCCAGGUAAUACACAAACCAAAAGUCACUUUCUUUUUACUUUUGGUUAAUGAUUGUUAUCUUGUUUGACGAAACCAGGUCAAGAUUGGUGAUCUUGGUUUAGCUGCAGUCGUGGGGAAGAACCAUUUAGCUCACUCGAUCCUCGGGACACCAGAGUUCAUGGCUCCUGAGCUAUACGAAGAGAAGUACACGGAGUUGAUUGACGUUUACUCUUACGGGAUGUGUGUUUUGGAGCUUGUGUCGCUGGAGAUUCCAUACAGCGAAUGCGAUAGCGUUGCCAAGAUAUACAGAAGGGUGAGCAGUGGAGUCAAACCAGAGGCUCUGAACAAAGUAAAGGAUCUAGAAGCUAAGGCCUUUAUUGAGAAGUGCAUUGCGCAAAAAAAGGUGAGACCUUCUGCAGCUGAGCUUCUUCGUGACCCGUUCUUUGAUGGGAUAGUAGAUGAUGAAGAAGAAGAAAACAAUGACAAUAGUGGAAGUGGUCGUAUUGUGUCUUGAUGAUGGGUGGAUGCAUAAGGUGACCAGUUUGUUUGUCUUGUGGUUUGAGUCUGUUUUUUUUUUAACAUUUCGGGAGGCAUUGUUUCGUUCUUUUUCUUUCGAUUCUUUUGUCUCUUUAGUUUGCACAUAAACUUUUGGUUCGAUAUUGGAAUUACACAGCCUUUUCUUUUUAGUUAUAACCUGGUUUCAAACGUGGGAGAAAGCAGAAUCUAUCAUUUUAUAUGUCUCAGAAAAUUUUGUAAAUUAUUGUUUUAUGCCCUUCAAUUUGCUAAACAUUUGUUAUCUUUUGAAUGAUGAAUUAUAAAAAAUGUCUGGAUUGAAUAACUUGCAAAAUAUCUAAGCCGGCCCAAAACUCAGUACAUCAUCUUAUCUAGUACUAAAACUAGUGCAUGGGAAAAAUAGAAUGAUUAACAAAAAAUAAAUGGUUUACUUGAGAAUGUUCAGUUCAACUGAAUCUCAAGAGAAGACAACAAAACAAGGCCGCAGAUGCACUGGCAAAACAGUUUCAUAAUAGAUAUUCUUCUUUCAGUUAUAUGUAUUACAUUGAAUCAAUCCUCCAUGAGGAUCAUAAUUAUUCUUCGUUAUAAUAAAGAUAGCACGUCGUUUGGAAAAAAUCGAAAAGUAUAAAAAGGCUUUAUAGCUUACCAAAAUAAUAUGCCCACUUUCUAAAAGCCCAUUUAAAAACGGCUCUGAGUGGAACCCACAUUUAUUUAUUAAGUAAAAGACAAAAAUCAAAAAACAAUAUUUCAAAUCACAACGGUCGAAUCGAUGGGCUCUCAAACAUUCAAAACUGCGCUUUACCUUAUCGUCUUCCUCUCUCUCUCACACUUAACGUUCAUAUUACCUCUCUCCCUCUCCCUCUCCCUCUCCCUCUCCCUCUCCCUCUCUCUCUAAAUCUAAAAACUCUUCCGUUUCUCUCUAUCUCUGUGUGAAAACGAUGAAGUCCCCAGCGAAGAUCGGAGAUUCUCGAUUCUUAGGAAACAUCUCGACUUCCUCUAUCCGAAACCUCCUCCCCAGAUCCAUCUACGCGAAGCAGAAAUCAAUCCAAAGUCAGAGUUUCAGAUCCAACGACGAGAACGCGCCACCCUGCGACCCAAACGCACUCCCUCCUCAUAACGAUCUUCAGUUGAAAAACAAAUCUCCUCAGAAAGUUUUUCCCUCCACUCCCCCCGAAGAACACACUCAGGUACAGAUCCAUUACCUGAGAAGUUUCUAAAUUAGGCUGACUUUAGUUUUAUACCUAACAACGAUUCUAGGGUAACUGUUUGAUUCAAAUGUGACAGAUUCUCAAAUUGGGACCGGAAACUUACUCUGAAGACAGAGGGGAUACUGCUACAAAAUCUCCAUCGAAGGUAACGGUUAUUUUUCGGAACGUGAUAGUGAAUCUUUUACUGUUUCAGUCGUUUGAUUUUGAAUUUGAAAUUAACAACAGUUUGAAGGAAGGAGUGUGCUAGCCACAAGAUCUAACGAGAUGGCUAAUGAGAUAACAGAGGAAGAUGACGAGUUGGGUGACCAGAUCCGUGAACUAAAGGUCUCUCUUUUUGUUUCCAUCGGUUGUGUAUUUGCUGUGUGAUUUCACAAUGGCGUUGUGUGUAAUGUUUGUUGUGGUUUACAGGAGGAUCUAAUCAGAACCAAGUCUGAUGGUUACAAACCUGAUGGAAGCAAGAGUGGUGGUUACUUUGCUAGGGAGAGCUUGAGUCAGUUGAGGAUGAGCAUCAACAAGUCUUUAGUCAUGUCCUGUGAUGAUAACAAAAAAGAUGAUGAUGGUGAUUAUGAUGUGAUGGAACUGAAUAAACAUGUUGAGAAGUAUUGUGAUGCUGAUGACUUGAGGGAUUCAGUGCAAUCCUCCUUUGCUAGUGCUUCCUGCUGUGAAGCUGAGUCUAUGAGUGGAGAUGAGAUCUGUUCUGAAGAUGUUGAGAUACACAAAGAGUGUGCAUUUUCUGAAUCUGUGGGAAGUGGGAUCUCAAUCAGUUUACCUCAUCAGACUCGUGUUCUCGAAGAGCCAAUUUUGUCUGAGUCUCCAAAGCUUAGGAACUUCCGCAAGAGCGUGGCUGCGUCUACAAAGUUUCAAGCAACUGCUAGGAAUGUAACCGAGAGCUCCAACAAAAAGCCUUUGAAUCCAACGGAUUCUCUAGCUGCAAGUCUCCAGAGAGGACUGCAGAUUAUAGACACUCACCAACGGAGCUCUUUAUCAAACAGAUCUUCUGUUUCGUUCUCGUUUGGUCAUCUGUCUCUGAAGCCUUGCGAUGAAGCCGAGAUUCUCAGUGCCUCUGUUAAAUCGUUACAAGAAGUUAGAUCAAAAGAAGGUGGUUCAUCUAUUCUCCUCUGCCUUUCUUGCAGACAGAAACUUGACCAAGAAGCUGAGGUAUGUCUAGAAAACCUUGCAUUUACCUGCAUUUUACUUCAGUUAUUAGUGAGCUUAUGUUUAUAUCUUAUAUUUACCAGGGAGGAUGCACAGACGAGAAGCAUCUCAAGAACAUAUGUGCGGAGCAGGCUACCAAAAUUGAGCAGCUAACUUGUCUGGUAAACAUAUCAUGAGACUACUCAAGUGUUAAAGGCUAAGCUUUAGUUUUCUGACAAUAUGUUUUAAUAACUUUUCAGUUAGACCAAUACAAAAACAACACUAUGCAAGAGCCUAGUACGGUAAGGAAACAUGUUACAUUUCAAAACACAAGCAAACCAGUGAGUUUUUGUUCAUGCCUACUUUAACUAUGCUUUAUCUGUUUGUGCAGCUAAUGCAUACCAAUGAUGGAGGAGAUAAGACAAACCAGCUAAGUGAAAAGGAAGCUCUUCUAAAGGAGAUUGCAGAGCUCAAGAGCAAGCUGCAGCCUACUAAAUCAACAGAGAACCUGAGAUCCUCUCUGCUACUGCGGUCCUUUCAAAUGAGGAAAAGCACUGAUCUAACUAGAAACACUGAGAACAACAGUGAUGGUCUAGAGGAGGAACGUGAAAGGUGGACAGAGAUGGAGAGCGAAUGGAUAUCUUUAACAGACGAUCUAAGAAUGGAUAUUGAUAACCACCGAAGACACGCAGAGGAUCUGGAGAUAGAGCUCAGAAAAGAGAAAACGGCUGCAGAGGAGCUAAAUGACGCUCUUGGUAGAGCCAUGCUUGGUCACAGUAGGUUCAUCGAGCAGUACACUGAGCUCCAGGAGAAGUAUGAUGAGUUAGUUGAGAGGCAUAACGUGACGUUGGCAGGAAUAGUUGAUGUGAAGAAAGCAGCGGCUAAAGCUGCAGUGAAAGGUCGUCAUGGGAAGAGUUUUGCCAAAGCCUUUUCAGCUGAGCUUACUGCCAUUAGAGCUGAGAAGGAGAAAGAAAGAGAGUUCUUGAAGAAGGAGAACAAGGGACUUAAGAUUCAGCUGAGAGAUACCGCUGAAGCUGUUCAAGCUGCUGGAGAGUUACUGAUCAGACUCAGAGAAGCUGAGCAAUAUGUACAAUCCUCUGAGGUAACUCUUACUUUCAUCAAUCUUUUGCUUGUGGGUUGGCUCUCACUAUUGAAUUUUAAUGUUUGGUUUGUGUUGGAUUCAAAAACCAUAUAUAAUUGCAGGAACGUUUCAGCUUACUUGAAGAAGAGAAUGCAAAGUUAACGAUGCAGAUGGAGAAGUUAAAGAGUAAGCACAAGACAGAAAUGAGCACAAUGAAGCAAUAUCUUGCGGAAAGCAAAUUGCCAGGGUCUGCAUUACAGCCAUGGUUCACGGGGAAUGAGGAACAUUUAUCAGAAGACAGAACCGGUUUGGUCAAGGAGGAUGAAGAACACAGAACCGGUGUGGUCAGCUAUGACGAUUAUGCAGACGAUCAGGCAUGGAGAGCUGAGUUUGGUGCCAUAUAUCAAGACCAUCAGUAUUGAUGACGAGUCUAUCAUUUCAUUUCAAGAGCAAAAACUUCGAAUCAGUCUCCUUUUGUCACAGACAAGACCCAUCUUGGGUCAUCUUAUCUUCUUAUGUUGCCUUAAAAUUCUUAUUCUGUCUUGUUGUUGUCGUCUUUACAUCUUCAAUUGUUGUGUGGCCAUUAACUGAUGAAUCAGGUUUUCUUGUAAUCUGAAUAUUAUUAAUUCGCCAAAAAUCGUUCAUUAUCUUUUUUUUUUCUUCUGAUUUAGAUUCAAAAGUUAAGCUUGGGAAAUUUGGUAUGUGUAUUUACUAAUCAUAGAUAAGAAGAACAUUUCUCAAGUUAGCUUAGCUUUCUGCUUAUGCUUUCAUUAAUUGAGGGCUCUAACGACUGGAGGAACAACCAAGAUUACUUGAGUUAGGGACAACAAAUAGUGAGGUGAGACCCAUUAAUGUUUAUCUUGGUGUCUCUUUGCAUAGAUGCACAGUCUAAUAGAACUCUUGGUGUGUCUUUGCUUGUAUGUUAAAGUGAUCUAUGUUUUGCAGCCAUUAAAGUUGGAGUGGCUGGGUGCUGCACUGGACUUGCUCUUAGUUUCCCUGGUAAGUACUAUAUCGGCACUGUUCCUUUACAAUUUAGACGGUGAAACUAUUGAGCUAUUCACGACCAUUGAGACAUCAAAGCACAAGCCUCAAGGUGAGUUAUCACUAUAUUAAACAUGAAUUUUUACUUACAAAACCUCUCAACUAAAAAUGGAUCUUAAAAUAACUUAACCAAUUAUCAUCUUUCUAAAAGAAUAAAGAUGAAUCCAGAAAUUUUCUUACGGUGUUUAAUCAAAGAUUUUUUGUUCAGUUGAAAAGAUUUGUAGCUUAAUUAGCAUUGUAUUUUAGACAUCACCGGUUUGACUUGCAUUUUAUUUAUCAUUGCAAAUUUAUGAAUAUUCCUUAAGAUACCUUUUGUUGUUGUUUUUUUCCGUUGGUUGUGAUUUUUUGGAUAAACAAUAUAUUUCUGUUCAAAAAAAAUUCAACGGGGUUUUAAGUUCCAUUUGGAUUUAUCAUUUUGAUUUAAUGAUCCAAUACUAAAACUAACACCUCUAUGUUUGCACUACUUAAUUCUGUUGAGAUAUUUGUGUAGGCAGAUACAGUAACAAAUAAAAUUUGCAAAAUUCUUCCAUUGUAUAAAUGGUUUUGUAUGAUAAUGCGACGUCUCUAGACUAUACACAAUUAGUACUCGGAUUUAAUACCAUUAAUCAAUAUUAUCUUAAAUAAAACACAAAAUAAAAUGAUUUUGAGAAUUAGGAAAGUAUCUUCUACGAUCGAAUAUCUUAUCCAUUGAACCGAACUCAACUCUUUAGGUUCUUAUAAACAGUCUUUUGGUUCUAAGAAAAUUGAACAGUUACUAAAGACAAUUGUAAAAACAUACUGAAGUCAUGGAUCCUUCUUCUCAAAUGGUCUACCUUCUCUCUCUCAUCAUCAUCAUCAUCAUCACAAUCAUCAUCUUGAUUAUUUUCAUCAUUACUUCUUCCUUUUUGUGUCUUGCAGACUUGCGUUCUAAGGCUGGAUACUGAGACUAGUGGAUGGGACAAAUCUAUGCAUAAGCUGUUUAAGGGCGUUCAAGGUUCUUUUUUAUUCUCUCUCAUUUAUGUAGUUUUUCUUUUAAGUUGCAGUAAUAGAAUCAGUUAACUGAACCAAAAAAUCUACAGACCGAUCUAUAAUGUCUUUUUAUAACAUUAAUGUGUUAGCUAAUGAUUUUGACAUAAGUUUCAUCGUCAUCACGUGAGGCAAUUGCUAUGUUUAAAAACGUGAAACUGAAAAUGCGACGUAUUACAGUUGUGGAAACGUUGUUUUGAGGGGUGAACACUUAAUCGAACGUUAAAACACUUUUUAGAACACUGAUUCUGAAAAUUGGUUUAGAACGUAGAUACAUGUAAUCAUAGUUAGAAUUAGAAAUGUUUUAAUUACGAGAUUCGAUUAAAAUCUUUUUAGAGAAAAAGACAAAAAUAACACUAAAUCAAGUUUUUGUUCCCAAACUAGCACUCAAGAUCAAAAGUCACAAAAAUAGCACUUAAUAUUUUAUCAAAAGUCACAAACUUAGGGUUUAGAGUUAAAGGGUGGGGUUUAGGAUUUAGGGUUUAGGGUUUAGGGUUUAGGGUUUAGGGUUUAAAGUUUAGGGUUUAUGGUUUAGGGUUUAGAGUUUAGGGUUUAGAGUUGAGAAAUGAGAUUUUGGGGAUAAGAUUUCAAAUUUUGAAAAAUAAAAAAAUUAAAAUUUUCAAAAGAUAAAAUGCUAUUUUGAUCAUUUUAGUUUUUGAGUGCUAUUUUUGUGAUAUAAACUUAGAAAGAUGUUAUUUUGGAGAUUUGCCAUCUUUUUAUACUUUUAUGGAUUUAAACACCCCCAGUCAAUAGUCAACUAGUCAAUUACUAGAUUUUAACAUUUAUAUCACUGAGAAAUGAUUUUCUUUUUUGGGGUGUACGUGCAUGUUAUGAACAGAUGUGACAUACACAAUCGAUGCAACAAGAGGAUUAGUUUAUCUAUCAGGAAGAGCCAGCCCUGAGAUUGUUCUAAGGAUUCGUAAAGCAAAGAAACAUGCAAAGUUAAUCCACAUGGAUUACGGUCACGUUAUUCCUCCUCCCUACAAUCCUCCUAAUCCUUACGAAGCCGUACCUAUCACAUACAAUUACCAAAAUACAUGGCCACCGUCGCCGUAUCAGUCGCCGAUGUACCAGCCGACGGCGCCGCCGUCUCCUAUGACGCAGUAUAUGUACUACCGCCAAGACCCAAAUAUCCAACAACCUCAUCCUAUGGCGUUUCCGUAUAACUAUUAUCCGUACUACGUACCGGAGGUGCUUCAAUCUCCACCGCCGUAUAUACCGACGCGAGAAGGCGUCACCGGCGAGCAGCAGUGUCGUAUCUUGUGAAGAGGAUGUCGUAUUAGCGCUGAAGCAUUGAUUUGGUAUUUUUUUUAUAUAUAUCAAAUCAUGCACAAACAAAUGGUUUUAAUUUUCAUCACAUUUCUUGUUUUUUUUUGUCACAUUUCUCAUACUGUAAUCACAAGGGGAUGAUAUUAAUUGCAGACUCUAGCAAGUUAUGAGAUUAAUUUUGUCUUUCUAUAUGUCUAUAAUGACCCAAAUAAAUGAUUCCAGUUGUGUGUUAAAAAAAAAAUUAUAUGCACUCGUGUGUUGAUUAAUUUAUUUGAAAUCAUUCACCAAAUUUAACAACUCCACCACUUACACAAGGAUUUGGAUAAGUAAACAUGACCAAGAAGGCAAUAAAACAGAGCUGAGGUGAGAAAGAUUUAGAAACAUUCAAAGAGAAAAUAGAGUAGAGAAUUGAGAGUGGCAAAAUAAUGGAAGCGGCAAGAAUGUGUUUUGGUCCUAAAACUCUCCCUCACCUUUGCAACGGUGCUCAUCUUUAUAUUCCGACCAAACUUUCGCUAUUUCUUCACAACAAAGUUUCUCUUUCUCGGAGAGCGACAAAACACAAGUUGCUGUUGUGUGGCUACGAGUAGUCGUCCCUUGACUCACUUUGCUCCGUCUCUUUGGAGAGAUCACUUCCUCUCUGCUCCCCUUGACUACUCUGUAAGUACCUCAGACAGGAGAAACACAUAAUCUCAAUUUGGAGGCAUUGAACAAUUUAUUAAGAAAUUUAGUAAUAUUUUUUUAGACAAUUAUGGACUUAUGUUCAUGUAUAAUAUUUUAAAUCGAUAAUUUUUGGAAGCCUAAGGCCAAUGUUUCACAUUGCUAUUCAUGACCGGCUCCGUGUUUCGUAAUAGGCCAUUGUUGCAGAAAAUGAUUAAUCUUGAAUUGAACACUAACUUCUUUGUAGGAAUAUGAUACUACUAGAGAUAGAGAUCGAAUCCGUUUUUAAGCCGAAAGUGAGAAACAUGCUCAUGUUCUCACAUCGGUGACAAGGAGAGGAUUUGUCUCAUCCACUUGCUUGUUAAUCUUGGUACUUCUCAUUACUUUGAGAAGGAAAUUGAGGAGAUUAUCGACCAGGCUUUUCUAAAUUUGGACAGUUUAUUUGAGGAGGAAAACAGUUUGGAAAUAACUGCCAUCAUGUUUGUUGUGACGGACCAGAUGCACUCCUGGGCCAGAUGCUCUACUAGAGCCAGACCGGAUGCCCGUGCUGGAGGCCAGACGCUCAACUAGAGCCAGAUGUCCAUCACCAGAUGUCCAACCCCUCGCUUAGUAUGAUAUUGUCUGCUUUAGGCAUAAGCCCUCACGGAUUUGUUUUUGGGUCGUUACUCCCAAAAGGCCUCAUACUAAGUGGAAUUGGACCAGCUAUAUAUAUUAGACUUUAUUAUGUCUAAUAUCCGAUGUGGGACUUGGAUUGCCUCUUUAUUUAUUCUGACAAUCCUCCCCUCAAACCAAGGACUACAGAACCUUGGCUCUGAUACCAAUUUGUUGUGACGGACCAGGUGCACUCCUGGGCCAGAUGCUCUACUAGAGCCAGACCGGAUGCCCGUGCUGGAGGCCAGACGCUCAACUAGAGCCAGAUGUCCAUCACCAGAUGUCCAACCCCUCGCUUAGUAUGAUAUUGUCUGCUUUAGGCAUAAGCCCUCACGGAUUUGUUUUUGGGUCGUUACUCCCAAAAGGCCUCAUACUAAGUGGAAUUGGACCAGCUAUAUAUAUUAGACUUUAUUAUGUCUAAUAUCCGAUGUGGGACUUGGAUUGUCUCUUUAUUUAUUCUGACAAUGUUUGAGGUUUUCAGGCGUUAAGGACACCAUGUUUCUUCUGGUAAGAAAUAGUCAAUUAACUUGAUUCACAGAUUUAAAAUGCAUGUAUAUUUUAAUAACAUGAUAUUGAUAUCUAAGUUUCAACUAAGUGUGUUUGCAAGAUUCAAAGGUGAUGCUGGUGCAACAUUUAGAGAGCAUCUAGUCAGUGAUGUUAGAGGAAUGCUACAACUGUACGUACGAAGCAUCGUAUCUGGGGACAACCUCUGAAGGUAUAAUGGACGAAGCCUUGAGUUUCACAAGGUAUCAUUUGGAAUCUUUGGCAAGCCAAGAAGCGACCACUCCUCCUCUUCUCUCAAGGCAUAUACUAUCAAGGUACGUUGGUUUAACCAAUCUGAAACUAAUGAUAGACAAGGAGCUAGUAACCGAAUAUCUCACCAAUAAGGUCUUGCAACCAUAUUGCUUGCUUAGUUGUUUCUGUUGCUGCCAUAAACUCCGUUUCGCAUGAUGAUAGAGUGACUAUCUCUUGCUUCUGUGAACACCAUGUGAUUGGAUUGCCACCAAAGUAAAAUAUAUGCCCGGUUUUACUCUUACCAUCGUCGAGAUCGACAUUGUAGCUACUAUCACUGUAACCAAUUAAGCCUUCUUGCGGUUUUGCCUCGAAGAUCAAUCCGUAUGAUAGAGUACCUUGCACGUACCUCAGAACUUGUUUCAACGCGGCUUUAUGGGACUCCUUUGGACUGUGCAUAUACCGACUCAAAAUGCCAACGCUACACGCAAGAUCUGGUCUCGUGUGUAGCAAGUAACGUAAGCAACCAAUGUUCCUUCGGUAUUCUGUCUCGUCCACGCCAUUCUCCUUCUCGGUUUUGCUUUGUUUCAAACCUGCAUCCAUAGGUAUAUGCGUAGAGUUGCAUCCUUUCAUCCCGGCUUCCUCAAGUAUCUUCUUGGCAUAUUUCUCCUGGCUUAACACAAUGCUUCCCUUCCUUUGUAUGACUUCUAUUCCAAGGUAAUAGCUUAACAUUCCAAGAUCUGUCAUAUCAAACUUUGCUGCCAUAUCUCUCUUGAAAUCUACUGUCAUGUUCAAGCUAGACCCUGUAAUAAGUAGAUCAUUGACAUAAACUGCAACCACCAGUAGAUGUCCUUGUUCCCGUUUCUGAUACAGAGAAGGUUCUUUAAGACAGCGAUGAAACUUCAGCUCGUGCAGUACUGCAUUAAGCUUCUCAUUCCACGCCGUCGAGGCUUGUCGCAGUCCGUAAAGCGCCUUCUUU